UUUUUUUUUGUGAAAUUUGAGGAGAGAAGAGUCAAAACUUCUACGCCAGGAGGCCUCGCCAGAGCGACGAAGGGACUGAGGAGUAAAAAGAAUCCUACUCUCCGAUAUAUAUAAUCCUAAGACUCAAAACAUUUUUUAUAGACUCAACAACGCCAGCGAUUCGAUCAAGCAGGGGGCUCCUAAGUCGGGGAUGGCUCUGAUUACCAACUUGUAACGCCCAUGAUGCGGCUAUAUCUCCCACGUGUCGAGGCACGACUUAGAGGCAUAACCGCAUUGUGGUUUUGUCGCAAGAAUGGUCAUCUUCACACAGUCCCAUGUAAUGAACAAGAAUGGGAUAAAGAGUUGGCUUACAAUCGCCACUUCACACAAUACAUAAAUAAAUUCAUACAUCAUUCAAGAUACACACAUAGACCGACUACGGUCAAAACCAAAUACAAAGAAGACAACCCCAAAUGCUAGAUCCCCGAUCGUCCCAACUGGGCUCCACUACUGAUCAACAGGAAACGAAACAACACAAUGAACAAGAGCUUCAUCGAGCUCCCACUUGAGCUCGGUUGCGUCACCUGCACUGGUAUCCUCGGCACCUGCAACUGUUUUGGAAGUAUAUGUGAGUCACGAGGACUCAGCAAUCUCACACCCGCGAGAUCAAGACUAUUUAAGCUUAAGGGUAGGGAAGGGGUAAUGAGGUGGACCUGCAGCAAGCACUAAGCAUAUAUGGUGGCUAACAUACGCAAAUAAGAGCGAGAAGAGGAGCAACGGAACGGUCGUCAACUAGUAAUGAUCAAGAAGUGAUCCUGAACUUCUACUUACGUCAGACAUAACUCAAAAGCCGUGUUCACUUCCCGGACUCCGCCGAAAAGAGACCAUCACGGCUACACACGCGGUUGAUGUAUUUUAAUUAAGUCGAGUGUCAAGUUCUCUACAACCGGAUAUUAACAAAUUCCCAUCUGCCACAUAACCGCGGGCACGGCUUUCGAAAGAUAAUACCCUGCAGGGGUGUCCCAACUUAGUCCAUUAUAAGCUCUCACGGUCAAUGAAGGAUAUUCCUUCUCCCGGGAAGACCCGAUCAGUCUCGGAAUCCCAGUUUACAAGACAUUUCAACAAUGGUAAAACAAGACCAGCAAGACCACCCGCUGUGCCGACAAAUCCCGAUAGGAGCGGCACAUAUCUCGUUCUCAGGGCACACCGGAUAAGCUAAGCGUACAGGCACCGACGUAACCCAAGUUGCCAAGGGAUGGUCCCGCAUGGUGCUCUAGUUUGGACCAACACUCAGAGGAGCACUGGCCCGGGGGGGUUAAAAUAAAGAUGACCCUUGAGUCUGCAGAACCCAAGGGAAAAAGGCUUAGGUGGCAAAUGUUAAAACCAAGGUUGGGCCUUGCUGGAGGAGUUUUAUUCAAGGCGAACUGUCAAGGGGGUCCCAUAAAUCACCCAACCGCAUAAGGAACGCAAAAUCAAGGAACAUAACACCAGUAUGACAGAAACUAGGGCGGUAAGAGUGGAAUAAAACACCAGGCAUAAGGCCGAGCCUUCCACCCUUUACCAAGUAUAUAGAUGCAUUAAUUAAAAUAAGAUAUAUUGUGAUAUCCCAACAUAUCCAUGUUCCAACAUGGAACCAACUUCGACUUCACCUGCAACUAGCAACGCUAUAAGAAGGGCUGAGCAAAAGCGGUAACUUAGCCAAACAAUGGUUUGCUAGGAAAGGAUGGUUAUAGGCUUGACAUGGCAACAUGGGAGGCAUGAUAUAGCAAGUGGUAGGUAGCGCAGCAUAGCAAUAAAGCGGACAACUAGACAGAAUUCUAAGCAUUUUACAUAUUAAAAUCAUUUUAAACCGAUGCACCAUUUGUGAGUUAUUAAAUGCAUGAUCUAGAGGGACUUUUCUGCAAACUGUAAUUCACUGGAUAAUUGGCAAAAUUCACAGGACCAGGAAAAAAACAUAUACGGGCCGAAUUUGGUGCACUACUGGGCUGAACAGGAGGGAAUGUGGGGAGCUCACCCAUGGGCCAAGCCCAGCUGGAGAGGAGGAGGCCCAAGCGGCGCAGAUCUGGGCCUCAGGCGUGCUUGCGGCCCAGGAGGAUGGAUCGAACGAGGAGGCGCGGGGCCGCGGUCAACGCUCGGGACGAGCGAGACGCUGCUGCUCUCGUUCCUGAAGAACAGAAACAGCAGCAUCAUAGCGAUGGAGAAGAAGCCGGCAGCGGGUCCUGGCGGCGGGGUCGGGAGGAACCGGCCGGAACGGGCGGAACGAAGCGCGGGGAGGCGCCUGGGUUCAGAUCCGGCAAGGGGGGCGUGGAUCGGAUCCCCAAGCGGCGGAACAUGCUACAAGGCCAUGGCGGAACUGUUUCCUGAAGAAAAGACAGAGGAGAAAUCAGAGAGAGAAAGGGAAGGAACUAGAGGGAGGGAGAGCACGGGGAAAGAGAGGGGCGGCGCUCAUCUGCUCUUGGGCCAGGUGGCCGGCAGCACAGUAGCAGGUCUGGAGCGAGACAAGGCGGCGAUGGCCUGGACGAGGAGGAGGCCGCGGACGAAGGACGACGAUGGCUUGAGGCGCGUGGGACGCCCGGGCAGAGGAGCUCGAGCAUCGAGCUCGCGAGAGGCCCGGGGAGGACGUGGUGGCGGGGUCGAGGUUGGAGGCGCGCGACGACGGGCGAGCUCGGGCGCAUGGGCAGAGGAGGAGCAUGGCACAGGGGCUCGGGUUCUGCUGGGCGCGGAGGACGACGGAUGCGGGCGCAGGUGCUCGAGGAGCUCCUCUCCUCGAGCGCUCGGGCGAUGUUGACUUGGUGAGGAGGAUGAAAACAAGGAGGGAGAUGCUACGCGAUCUGGUUGGGCGGCGCUGAAAGCAAGGUGGUUGGUCGGGGAAGGGUCCCGAGGAACAGGGUGAGUGGGUGGCGGCGCAAGGAGGGGAAUAGGUUUAGGCUAGGGUUGGACUGAUUUGGUAGGUGGUGGUCUUAUAUAUAACAAGUGAAUUUUUGAUAGGGGCAUUUGGUCCCUCCGAUUAAAAUCGGCCGAUCGAGAAAAUAAUAGGUAGGGAGUCCAAAUAAGAAAAUGGAGAUGUUUUGUAGAUGUUUGGGGAUGAUUCGGACUCAUCGGUCACGACAGAGCGGGUCGGGUUCGGGCAAGGUUUUCGGACGCGCGCGAGGGAUUUGCGGGAUGUGCAGAGAGGUUAGGAAGCCAGGCAAGAGGGAAACAAAAAUCUGGUUGGUCUUGGAACGGUCAACGAAAGCAAGGGGGGACACGGCAACUACGAGCGGAUGCAAGUUUUAUGAAAACAUGCAAAUGGAAUGCGCAUGAUGCUAUGAGAUGAGAUGCAACAAACAAAUAAAUAACACAGCUGACUCGCAAAACAAGGAAGGCAUCUGGAGCGUCGGUCUCGGGGCGUUACAGCCGCUUCAUCCAACAAUACCGCCGAAUCAAAGUAUGACAUGCUGGUAAGUAGUAUGACUAUUAUCGCCCCCAACUCUUUGUGUUCUAGUCGUGCAUAUAACAUCUACGCAUAAACCUGGCUCUGAUACCUCUGUUGGGGAAAGCAGUAAUUUCAAAAAAAAAUCCUACGCACACGCAAGAUCCAUCUAGGUGAUUGAUACGUCCAUUUUGCAUCAUGCUUUUAUAUCAAUAUUUAUUGCAUUAUGGGCUGUUAUUACACAUUAUGUCACAAUACUUAUGCCUAUUCUCUCUUAUUUUACAAGGUUUACACGAAGAGGGAGAAUGCCGGCAGCUGGAAUUCUGGGCUAGAAAAGGAGCAAAUAUAAGAGACCUAUUCUCCACAACUCCAAAAGUCUUGAAACUCCACGAAAGUCAGUUUUGGAAUAUAUAAAAAUUAUUGGGCGAAGAAAGUACCAGAGGGGGGCCACCCACCAUCCACGAGGGUGGGGCGCGCGCACUACCCCCUGGGCGCGCCCCCUGCCUCGUGGGCCCCCUGGCAGGCCUCGGGUGCCCAUCUUUGGCUAUAUGAAGUCUUUCGCCCUGGAAAAAAUCAGAAGGAAGCUUUCGGGACGAAGCGCCGCCGUCUCGAGGCGGAACCUGGCGAAACCAAUCUAGGGCUCCGGCGGAACUGUUCUGCUGGGGAAACAUCCCUCUGGGAGGGGGAAAUCAUCACCAUCGUUAUCACCAUCGAUCCUCUCAUUGGGAGGGGGUCAAUCUCCAUCAACAUCUUCACCAGCACCAUCUCAUCUCAAACCCUAGUUCAUCUCUUGUAUCCAAUCUUUGUCUCAAAACCUCAGAUUGGUACCUGUGGGUUGCUAGUAGUGUUGAUUACUCCUUGUAGUUGAUGCUAGUUGGUUUAUUUGGUGGAAGAUCAUAUGUUCAGAUUAUUUAUGGAUAUUAAUAUCCCUCUGAUUAUGAACAUGAAUAUGAUUUGUGAGUAGUUACGUUUGUUCCUGGGGACAUGGGAGAAAUCUUGCUAUAAGUAGUCAUGUGAAUUUGGUAUUCGUUCGAUAUUUUGAUGAGUUGUAUGUUGUCUUUCCUCUAGUUGUGUUAUGUGAACAUCGACUACAUGAAACUUCACCAUUAUUUGGGCCAAGAGGAAGGCAUUGGGAAGUAAUAAGUAGAUGAUGGGUUGCUAGAGUGACAGAAGCUUAAACCCUAGUUUAUGUGUUGCUUCGUAAGGGGCUGAUUUGGAUCCAUAUGUUUCAUGUUAUGGUUAGGUUUACCUUAAUACUUCUUUUGUAGUUGCGGAUGCUUGCAAGAGGGGUUAAUCAUAAGUGGGAUGCUUGUCCAAGGAAGGGCAGCACCCAAGCACUGGUCCACCCACAUAUCAAAUUAUCAAAGUAACGAAUGCGAAUCAUAUGAGCAUGAUGAAAACGAGCUUGACGAUAAUUCCCAUGUGUCCUCGGGAGCAUUUUCCUUUAUAUAAGAGUUUGUCCAGGUUUGUCCUUUGCUACAAAAAGGAUUGGGCCACCUUUCUGCACCUUAUUUACUUUUAUUACUUGUUCCCCGUUACAAAUUACCUUAUCACAAAACUAUAUGUUACCAAUAAUUUCAGUGCUUGCAGAGAAUACCUUACCGAAAACCGCUAGUCAUUUCCUUUUGCUCCUUGUUGUGUUUGACACUCUUACUUAUCCAAAGGACUACGAUAGAUCCCCUAUACUUGUGGGUCAUCAAGACUCUUUUCUGGCGCCAUUGCCGGGGAGUGAAGCGCCUUUGGUAAGUGGAAUUUGGUAAGGAAAAUUUUAUAUAGUGUGCUGAAAUUUACUGUCACUUGUUACUAUGGAAAGUAAUCCUUUGAGGGGCUUGUUCGGGGUAUCUUCACCCCGACCAGUAGAUCAAAAGAGUUUCUCCUCAACCUACUGAACCUACUGAAAAUGUUUACUUUGAAAUUCCUUCGGGUAUGAUAGAGAAACUGCUAGCUAAUCCUUUUACAGGAGAUGGAACAUUGCAUCCCGAUUUGCACCUAAUCUAUGUGGAUGAAGUUUGUGGAUUAUUUAAGCUUGCAGGUAUGCCCGAGGAUGUUAUCAAGAAGAAUGUCUUCCCUUUAUCUUUGAAGGGAAAGGCAUUGACAUGGUUUAGGCUAUGCGAUGAUAUUGGAUCAUGGAACUACAACCGAUUGAAAUUGGAAUUUCAUCAGAAGUUUUAUCCUAUGCAUCUGGUUCAUCAUGAUCGUAAUUAUAUAUAUAAUUUUUGGCCUCGCGAAGGAGAAAGCAUCGCUCAAGCUUGGGGGAGGCUUAAGUCAAUGUUAUAUUCAUGCCCCAGUCAUGAGCUCUCAAGAGAAAUUAUUAUUCAAAAAAUUUAUGCUCGGCUUUCUCUCAAUAAUCGCUCCAUGCUCGAUACUUCUUGUACUGGUUCUUUUAUGAUGAAGACAAUUGAAUUCAGAUGGGAUUUAUUGGAAAGAAUUAAACACAACUCUGAAGAUUGGGAACUCAACGAAGGUAAGGAGUCAGGUAUAACACCUAAGUUUGAUUGUGUUAAAUCUUUUAUGGAUACCGAUGUUUUCCGUGAAUUUAGCACUAAAUAUGGACUUAACUCUGAGAUAGUAGCUUCUUUAUGUGAAUCAUUUGCUACCCAUGUUGAUCUUCCUAAGGAGAAGUGGUUUAAAUAUCAUCCUCCCAUUGAAGUAAAAGUAGUUGAACCUAUUAAAGUUGAAGAAAAGACUAUCACUUACAAUGUUGAUCCUAUUGUUCCUACCGCUUAUAUUGAGAAACCACCUUUCCCUGUUAGAAUAAAGGAUCAUGCUAAAGCUUCAAUUGUGGUCAAGAAAAGUAAUAUUAGAACACCCAAACCCUCUGAGAAAAUUAAAGUUGAACCUAGUAUUGCUAUGGUUAAAGAUCUCUUGGUUGAUAAUAUUGAUGGGCAUGUUAUUUACUUCUGUGAUGAAGCCGCUAUAAUUGCUAAGCCUAAUACUAAAGAUAAACAUAGACCUGUUGUUGGCAUGCCUGUCGUUUCGGUUAAAAUAGGAGAUCACUGUUAUCAUGGCUUAUGUGAUAUGGGUGCUAGUGUCAGUGCAAUACCUUAUACCUUAUAAGAAGAAAUUAUGCAUGAUAUUGCACCUGCUGAGAUAGAAGAUAUUAAUGUUACUAUUAAGCUUGCCAAUAGAGAUACUAUCUCACCGGUUGGGAUUGUUAGAGAUGUUGAAGUCUUGUGUGGAAAAAUUAAAUAUCCUACUGAUUUUCUUGUUCUUGCUUCCCCACUGGAUAAAUUUUGUCCUAUUAUAUUUGGUAGACCCUUCUUGAAUACUGUUAAUGCUAAGAUAGAUUGUAAAAAGAAUGUUGUUACUAUUGGCUUAGGGGAUAUUUCUCAUGAUUUUAAUUUUGCUAAAUUUCGUAGACAACCCCAUGAUAAAGAAUUGCCUAGUAAAGAUGAAAUUGUUGGUCUUGUGUAGCGACCAGACCUCAAAUGGUCUGUGCUGCUGUGCACCAGUGUCAUCCCUCGAUCAGUAAUGCUGACACGCACAGUACAAAUGGAGGAUUUAUAACAGAGUAGCAAUCACACACUUAUUACAUCGAAUAUCUCCGAAGAGAUUAAGUAUGAUAAACAUGGCUUAAGGCCAUCUAACAACGAUAACAGCGGAAGACUUGGAAGAUAAGUGAGUCCAUCAACUCCAGCGGCAUCACUGAGUAUAAGACCACGACCUAAGGCAUCUUACUCGUCGUCUGAAAAGUCUGCAACAUGAAACGUUGCAGCCCGAAAACGGGUCAGCACAUAGGAUAUGCUGGCAAAGUAACACAUAGAGAGCAAUAAACAAUAAUGAUGCUAUACUACAUGCAUAUAUGGCUGGUGGAAAGCUCUAUGGUUACAGUUUUGUGAAAAGCCAAUUUUAUCCUACUUCAAAGGAAUAAAUUUUAUUUAACUAUCAUGGUGGUUGUGAAACAUUAAGAAGGUACCUCCAACUCAAUCCCAAUUAAGUGUCAUCAUUAACCCAACAAAAUUAAUUAAAAGUAACAUGGUGAUGAGAUUCAAAUGAUAAUCCAGGUACUAGAUACUCAAGUUGUCCAUAACCGGGGACACGGCUAACCAUGAUUAGUUUGUACACUCUGCAGAGGUAUGCGCACUUUUCCCCACAAGACUCAAUCGCCUCCGCUUGAUUCUCGCACUGCAUGAUGUUUGAGAAACGGAUGACCGAGACACAGCCUUUCAGAAAGAAUCACUCUUUACUCUGGAUGGACCGGUACACCUACUUUCCCCUACAUCUGCUAGCCCACCUCUUCAAGAGAUCUUGUAACCUACUCAACUAUGCUAGAGCCCAUAAUAGCUUGUGGCUGCACACGGAAGUUUCUAGCAUGAAUAAUCUUAUGAUCCCUUUGAGCCUGGGUGGCGGUCCUUAUACAAACAGACAACACUGGGUUCUCCAGGUGCCUCAAUCCACCCAGAUGAGAGUUUUAGUUGCCACCUUAAGUUGAACCAUUAAUAAACAUCUCACAUCUGUCAUGAAUAUCACUCAAACCCAUCCACGUCUACGAGCAUAGCAUGGCAAUAAUAAAAGCAACGUAGAAGUAACUCCCAAGGGUUUGAAUAGAAAACAGGUAAUAGGUACUACCUCAACUACUUCCCAAUACCCACAAUUUAAUUAGACCCUAAUCAUGCAAUUGUUUGAGGAAAAGAUCUAAUGCAAUAAAACUGGGUAUGAAAAGUAUGAUCAAAGUGUUACUUGCCUUGCUGAUGAUCCGCAAAACCUAACGAGUCGAAGUAACAAGCGGCACACUCCGGGUACUCUAUCGCAAACAAACAAGCAUACAAUCAGUACUCAUCUAAUGCACAGGUAAAACUCGAAUGAAAGAUCCAACCAGAAAGUUCAACUUAAGAACUCCGGUUUACAAAAAGAAUCAACUCGAACGAAGCAACGAAAGUCAAACUGCGAAAGAAACAAGCUUCGUUUACUAAUCUGGAUCUAGGUCAAAUUUUACAGUAGCAAAAACUUGUUUGAGUGGGUUAAACGGAAAGAGAAUUUCGAGACGAAACUCUAGGCGCUUGAAUCGCCUGAUUCCGAUAAACGAGCGAGAAGUUAAACAGAAUCGAAGAUUCGAUCAGAAAUCGAAUCUGAGAUAAUCGCAGAAAAAUCCGACGAAAAGAAAAACGGACGAACGGUUNNNNNNNNNNNNNNNNNNNNNNNNNNNNNNNNNNNNNNNNNNNNNNNNNNNNNNNNNNNNNNNNNNNNNNNNNNNNNNNNNNNNNNNNNNNNNNNNNNNNNNNNNNNNNNNNNNNNNNNNNNNNNNNNNNNNNNNNNNNNNNNNNNNNNNNNNNNNNNNNNNNNNNNNNNNNNNNNNNNNNNNNNNNNNNNNNNNNNNNNNNNNNNNNNNNNNNNNNNNNNNNNNNNNNNNNNNNNNNNNNNNNNNNNNNNNNNNNNNNNNNNNNNNNNNNNNNNNNNNNNNNNNNNNNNNNNNNNNNNNNNNNNNNNNNNNNNNNNNNNNNNNNNNNNNNNNNNNNNNNNNNNNNNNNNNNNNGAGAGGGGGGGUAUAAAGAGGGCGGGGAGCAAGCUUGGAGGAGGGGCAAGCUUCGGGGCGGCUCGGUCCCGUGUCCAUGUAGGACACGGCGGCGGCGCUCUCCCGUGCGGAGGAAGGAGAGGGCGCGGGCGGGCCGGCGCUCGGCUGGGCUGCGGUCCGGUCGGGCGUCGCGUGUUUUUUUUUAAAUAAGUUCCGCGGAAAAUAAUUCACAGAAAAAUAAAUAAAAAUCAGAAAAAUAUAAAAUAAAUUUUCCCCGUCUAGUUAGAAAAUCUAGAAUAGGGUGAACAUUUUUUAAAUCAAAAUAAAUAUUUUGAAAAACAUGCAACAUUUUUAAUGCAAUAAAAAUUGCAAAUAAAAUCCGAAUAAAUUCCAAUAAAAGAUUUUAACAUUUUUCCUCGAGUAUUUCAAUGGUUUUGGAGAAGUCAUAUUUUCUCCUCUCGUUUAUUUUUAAAAUGAAAUAUUUUCCGGAGAGAAAAUAAUUAAAAUCAAAAUCCUCGUUUUAUAAUUUGACGAAAAUCAAAUAUGAAAAAUUCAAGAAAAUCCCCAACUCUCUCCGAGGGUCCUUGAGUUGCUUAGGAUUUAUCAAGGAUUUGUCAAAAUGCAAUAAAACAUGAUAUGCAAUGAUGAUCUAUGUAUAACAUACCAAAUUGAAAAUUUGGGAUGUUACAAACCUACCCCCCUUAAGAUGAAUCUCGCCCUCGAGAUUCGGGUUGGCUAGAAAACAGGUGGGAGUGGUCCUUCCGUAGAUCUUCCUCUCGCUCCCAGGUGGCUUCAUCCUCCGUGUGGUGACUCCACUGGACUUUGCAAAACUUGAUAACCUUGCUGCGGGUAACUCGGCUGGCAUACUCGAGAAUCUUAACUGGUUUCUCCUCAUAGGUCAAAUCACUUUCCAACUGAAUCGCUUCCAGUGGCACAGUAUCUCUCAGUGGUAUCUCAGCCAUCUCUGCAUGGCACUUCUUCAACUGAGAAACAUGAAAUACAUCAUGUACUCCAGACAAUCCUUCGGGCAAUUCCAGCUUGUAAGCAACCUCUCCCAUACGUUCCAAAACUCUGUAUGGUCCUAUAAAACGGGGCGCUAACUUUCCCUUAACUCCAAAGCGCUUCACUCCUCGAAGUGGUGAUACUCGAAGAUACACUCUGUCUCCGACUUCGUGAACUGUCUCCUUUCGUUUAGAAUCGGCAUAACUCUUCUGCCUGGACUGGGCUACCUUGAGCCUAUCACGAAUCAACCUCACUUUCUGUUCAGACUCCUUAAUCAAAUCUGGUCCAAACAACUGACGGUCUCCAACUUCGUCCCAUAACAACGGUGUUCUACACCUCCUUCCGUACAAGGCUUCGAAAGGGGCCAUCUUCAAACUGGUUUGAUAACUGUUGUUAUACGAAAACUCUGCAUAUGGCAAAUUAUCGUCCCAACUGGAUCCAUAAUCUAGUGCACAUGCUCUCAACAUGUCCUCCAAAAUCUGGUUGACUCUCUCGAUCUGUCCAUCUGUCUGUGGGUGGAAAGCUGUACUAAAUUCCAGCCUAGUUCCCAAUGUUUCAUGUAACUGCUUCCAAAACUUCGAGGUAAAUUGGGUUCCUCUGUCUGAUACAAUGGUCCUCGGAACUCCAUGCAAACAUACGAUCCUGGUCAUGUAUAUCUUUGCCAACUUGGCACUGGUGUAAGUGGUCAUCACUGGAAUGAAAUGAGCCACUUUCGUCAAUCGGUCGACUAAACCCAUAUUGAGUCAUAGCCUGAACGAGUCAUGGGUAAUCCUGUGAUAAAAUCCAUGCCUAUUUUAUCCCACUUCCAUUCGGGUAUCGGCAAUGGUUGUAGCAAUCCUGCUAGCUUCUGAUGCUCUGCCUUCACUCUCUGGCACACAUCACAAACUGCUACAUAUUCCGCAAUAUCCUUCUUCAUUCCGGUCCACCAGAAAGUAUUCUUCAAAUCCAAAUACAUCUUGGUAUUCCCUGGGUGAAUUGAGUAUGGUGAAUCAUGGGCUUCCUGCAAAAUCAACUUCCUGAUCUCCGGAUUAUUUGGCACAUAAACGCGGUCCUCAAACCAUAAGGUAUCGUGCUCAUCCUCAUGAAAUCCCUUGGCUUUUCCUUUGCUCAUCUUCUCCUUUAUCUCUUCAAUCUCCUUGUCUGUCUUCUGAGCUUCUCUGAUCCUUUCCAUCAAGGUAGAAUGAAUCUCCAAUGUCGCUAAAUAGCCUCUUGGGACUAUCUCCAAACAUAGCUCGCGAAGGUCCUCGGCUAACUCCUGAGGUAACUCUCCUGUCAUGAGGGUGUUGACAUGACUCUUGCGGCUCAACGCGUCUGCUACUACGUUAGCCUUUCCUGGGUGAUAAUGCAAUCUCAUAUCAUAGUCUUUAAUGAGCUCCAGCCAUCUCCUCUGUCUGAGAUUUAACUCCUUCUGCGUGAAAAUAUACUUCAAACUCUUGUGAUCUGUAUACACCUCACAAUGGUUUUCGAUGAGAAAAUGUCUCCAUGUCUUCAAUGCAUGCACCACGGCUACUAAUUCCAAAUCGUGCGUAGCAUAAUUCUUCUCAUGGGGUUUAAGUUGUCGUGAAGCAUAUGACACAACUCUUCCUUCCUGCAUAAGCACUGCUCCAAGUCCUCGACGAGAAGCGUCGCAAUAAACUUCAUAGUCUUUGCGUUGAUCGGGCAGAAUCAACACUGGUGAUGUAACCAAUCGUUUCUUCAACUCUUGGAAACUAGCUUCACAUUCCUCAGUCCAAUUGAAUUUGGUGUCCUUCUUCAAUAGCUCAGUCAUGGGCUUAGCAAUCUUUGAGAAAUUCUCGAUGAAUCUCCGGUAGUAUCCUGCAAGUCCAAGGAAACUCCGGAUUUCUCCAACUGUCGUGGGUGAUUCCCAACUUGUCACUGUGUCAACCUUGGCAGGGUCUACUGCUAUUCCUUCUCCAGAAAUAACAUGUCCAAGGAAUCCAACUUCCUUCAGCCAAAAUUCACACUUGCUGAACUUGGCGUAUAACUGAUGUUCUCUGAGCUUCUCAAGUACCAAUCGCAAAUGCUCCUCAUGCUCUUCUUCAUCCUUGGAAAAGAUUAAAAUAUCAUCAAUGAAAACCACGACGAACUUAUCCAAAAACUCCAUAAACACUUUGUUCAUCAGGUUCAUGAAAUAGGCAGGUGCGUUAGUCAGACCAAAUGACAUAACGGUAUACUCAUAUAAUCCGUAUCUGGUGGUAAAAGCCGUCUUAGGUAUAUCCUGCUCUCGAAUCUUUAACUGAUGGUAUCCUGAUCGUAGAUCGAUCUUGGAAAAUACUUUAGCUCCUUGUAGGCGGUCAAACAAAUCAUUGAUCAUCGGCAGUGGGUACUUGUUUUUGAUGGUCACUUCAUUCAAUCCUCGGUAAUCAACAACCAUCCUCAGCGAUCCAUGUUUCUUCUCCACUAGAAGUACUGGUGAUCCCCAAGGUGACGAACUUGGGCGAAUAUAGCCUUUAUCCAGUAACUCCUUGAUCUGCUUCUUAAUCUCCUCCAAAUCUUUUGCGGGCAUCCUGUACGGUCUCUUAGAUAUUGGCCCUGUGCCUGGCAAAAGUUCAAUCAAGAACUCAAUGUCUCUAUCUGGUGGCAUGCCUGGCAACUCUUCUGGAAAUACAUCCGGAUAAUCCUUCACCACUGGUACUUCCUCCUGUACAACUCCUGAUAAGGAAUUUACUUGAGUCCUCUUCGGCAUAUGCCGGGAUACAUACUUGAUCCUUUUUCCUUCUGGGGUGGUAAGCAAAAUCGUCUUGCUGGCACAAUCGAUGUUUCCUCCAUACAACGAUAGCCAAUCCAUUCCCAAAAUCACAUCCAAACCUUGCGAUUCCAAAACAAUGAGGUCCGAGGGGAAAACAUGCCUUCCAAUGGCCAAUGGUAUCUGAAAACAUCCUUGGGUUGCCAUAUACUCUGCUCCUGGCGAGGUUACUAACAUAGGGGUUUUGAGAACUUGGGUGGACAUCUUAAACUUAUUCACGAAUCCCCUUGAUAUGUAUGAAUGCGAUGCACCAGUAUCGAAAAGAACGGUUGCAGUAAAUGACUUAACCAAAAACUUACCUAUUACUGCAUCAGGCUGAGCUUCAACCUCCUCCACGCUCACGUGGUUCACAUGCCCUUUGUUGAACGGGUUCGGCUUCUUCCCAGAGCUUCCAUUGCCAUUUCCAUUUUGGGCUUCAGGACAAUCAGUUGCAUAAUGUCCAGUCUUCUGGCACUUAAAGCAAGUAAUGUGACUUAGAUCCCUCUUGGUUGGGGUAGAUGGGUUGGUGCGGUUCUGUCCGUUUCCUCCUCCAUUCCCAUUACCAUUCUUGGAGCCAUUAUGGUUGUGCGAACUACCUCCUCCAUGGGUAUGCUGAAACUGUCCUCCCGGCUUCGGGGUAAAUCGUGGCUUCUGCUGGGCUCCAGAAUUGUACUUCCCUUGUCCAUACUUCCUCUUGCGGUUUUCAAUCUGCUGUUGCUUCCCUUCAAUCAUGAGAGCUCUAUCUACCAGCUGCUGGUAGUUGUUGAAGGUUGCUACCAUCAACUGCAUACUCAGUUCAUCAUUCAGUCCUUCCAAAAAUUUCUCCUGCUUGGCAGCAUCUGUAGCAACGUCAUCUGGUGCAUAACGUGCUAGCUUACUGAAAUCCUCCACAUACUGGCCUACGGUGUGUCCUCCUUGGCGUAGGUUGCGAAACUCACGCUUCUUCAUAGCCAUAGCUCCUGCUGAAACAUGAGCUGUACGAAAAGCUUGCUGAAACUGGUCCCAUGUGACAGUGUCAAUAGGGUGCGUGGCUGUAUAAUUCUCCCACCAUGAUGCUGCGGGUCCAUCAAGCUGAUGUGCGGCAAAACGCACUCUUUCCGCAUCUGUGCAUCCUGCAGUGGUUAACUCCCUUCCAACUUUGCGAAGCCAAUCAUCUGCAACAAUCGGCUCGGUGCUACUGGAAAACACCGGCGGGUUUAGCCUUAAGAAACGGGCUAAGUGAUCAACAGGUGGUGGUGGCGGUGGGUUGUUGUUGUUGUUGCCUUGGUUCUGCACUAACACUUGCAUCAGGGCAUUCUGUUGCUGAAUCAACUGGGUGAUCUCUGGCGGGAAAACAAAUCCGGUGUCGCGUCUCGGAGGCAUCUGAUAGGUUUAGAAAAGAUGAGAGUUAAGAAUAGAAUGAGGUCUAGAGAGAAAACACUACCCAUAUGCUCAUGAGACAAAUCAAUCAAUAUCACUCAAUCAAUUCAAACAAGGCAAAACAAUCGAUCUAACUAGCGUUACAAAGUGCUUGAACUAUACUAUUAAAUGGGGGAAAACUACUACUGAUAUGGUGGUCUACUAGAAAUUCUGAUCCGUUGAAGACUCCAUGAUGUUUGCUCCAGCUUCAUCAACCCAGUCGUCUUCACUUGGUUCUGAGUCGGUGGCGUCGAUGAUGAUGUAGUUAUCCGGAAAAGUGCAUUCGUCGACUUCUGCUUUUGGCACUGGAUUUCCCAUGAAUACUCCAAUCUUCUUCUCCAGGUCAUCAUUCUUCCCUACUAGUGCGUUGAUUUCCUCCAAAUAAUCUUCGCGUGUAGCCUUGAGUUCUUCUUGGAGCUCUUUGAUCUUCGUUAAUGCCUUCUUCAGUUCUUCCUUGUCCGUGCACAUCUGGUUCUCCUGGCGACGAAUAUGUUGGUUCUGCUCCUGGAUGAAAGCUGCAAUUGAUCCAUCCUUCUUGGUUCUGAUCAUCUCCCAUUGCGCGUCGCGGCAUCCACAAUUUUGGUAAAUUGUAUCCUUAAGCUCCUGGUGAUAGACUUCUCCAAUGCGUCCCAUGGCGAUGUGUGCGGCCAUGCUCUUCCCUAAACUCCAAGUUGGUGCUUCGAAAACCAAUCUUAUGGGUUCAGUAAUUGGCACAAACGUCCUUCCUGGAAUGAUAACUUGAAUCUUCCAGUUCUCCUCUUCAGGUAAUGUGGCGUUGUAGGUUCCGGUGAUGCUUGGUAUUCCUAUGUUCAAGUACUUGGUGACUUCCUUCAAAUGUCGACCAAGCGGCGUGUCUUCAUCUGGUUGCAUGAACUUGCUCCUUGCAUUCGCCAGUCCUAAAAGAGUAGAAAAAGGAGAGGGGUCAGAAAUGAGAAGAGAGAAGCUUUCCAGGGCUUAAGCUUAGUAGUCGUGUCCUACAGUUAGCGUGUGCUCUGAUACCAACUUUGUAGCGACCAGACCUCAAAUGGUCUGUGCUGCUGUGCACCAGUGUCAUCCCUGGAUCAGUAAUACUGACACGCACAAUACAAAUGGAGGAUUUAUAACAGAGUAGCAAUCACACACUUAUUACAUCGAAUAUCUCCGAAGAGAUUAAGUAUGAUAAACAUGGCUUAAGGCCAUCUAACAACGAUAACAGCGGAAGACUUGGAAGAUAAGUGAGUCCAUCAACUCCAGCGGCAUCACUGAGUAUAAGACCACGACCUAAGGCAUCUUACUCGUCGUCUGAAAAGUCUGCAACAUGAAACGUUGCAGCCCGAAAACGGGUCAGCACAUAGGAUAUGCUGGCAAAGUAACACAUAAAGAGCAAUAAACAAUAAUGAUGCUAUACUACAUGCAUAUAUGGCUGGUGGAAAGCUCUAUGGUUACAGUUUUGCGAAAAGCCAAUUUUAUCCUACUUCAAAGGAAUAAAUUUUAUUUAACUAUCAUGGUGGUUGUGAAACAUUGAGAAGGUACCUCCAACUCAAUCCCAAUUAAGUGUCAUCAUUAACCCAACAAAAUUAAUUGAAAGUAACAUGGUGAUGAGAUUCAAAUGAUAAUCUAGGUGCUAGAUACUCAAGUUGUCCAUAACCGGGGACACGGCUAACCAUGAUUAGUUUGUACACUCUGCAGAGGUUUGCGCACUUUUCCCCACAAGACUCGAUCGCCUCCGCUUGAUUCUCGCACUACAUGAUGUUUGAGAAACGGAUGACCGAGACACAGCCUUUCAGAAACAAUCACUCUUUACUCUGGAUGGACCGGUACACCUACUUUCCCCUACAUCUGCUAGCCCACCUCUUCAAGAGAUCUUGUAACCUACUCAACUAUGCUAGAGCCCAUAAUAGCUUGUGGCUGCACACGGAAGUUUCUAGCAUGAAUAAUCUUAUGAUCCCUUUGAGCCUGGGUGGCGGUCCUUAUACAAACAGACAACACUGGGUUCUCCAGGUGCCUCAAUCCACCCAGAUGAGAGUUUUAGUUGCCACCUUAAGUUGAACCAUUAAUAAACAUCUCACAUCUGUCAUGAAUAUCACUCAAACCCAUCCACGUCUACGAGCAUAGCAUGGCAAUAAUAAAAGCAACGUAGAAGUAACUCCCAAAGGUUUGAAUAGAAAACAGGUAAUAGGUACUACCUCAACUACUUCCCAAUACCCACAAUUUAAUUAGAUCCUAAUCAUGCAAUGGUUUGAGGAAAAGAUCUAAUGCAAUAAAACUGGGUAUGAAAAGUAUGAUCAAAGUGUUACUUGCCUUGCUGAUGAUCCGCAAAACCUAACGAGUCGAAGUAACAAGCGGCACACUCCGGGUACUCUAUCGCAAACAAACAAGCAUACAAUCAGUACUCAUCUAAUGCACAGGUAAAACUCGAAUGAAAGAUCCAACCAGAAAGUUCAACUUAAGAACUCCGGUUUACAAAAAGAAUCAACUCGAACGAAGCAACGAAAGUCAAACUGCGAAAGAAACAAGCUUCGUUUACUAAUCUGGAUCUAGGUCAAAUUUUACAGUAGCAAAAACUUGUUUGAGUGGGUUAAACGGAAAGAGAAUUUCGAGACGAAACUCUAGGCGCUUGAAUCGCCUGAUUCCGAUAAACGAGCGAGAAGUUAAACAGAAUCGAAGAUUCGAUCAGAAAUCGAAUCUGAGAUAAUCGCAGAAAAAUCCGACGAAAAGAAAAACGGACGAACGGUUNNNNNNNNNNNNNNNNNNNNNNNNNNNNNNNNNNNNNNNNNNNNNNNNNNNNNNNNNNNNNNNNNNNNNNNNNNNNNNNNNNNNNNNNNNNNNNNNNNNNNNNNNNNNNNNNNNNNNNNNNNNNNNNNNNNNNNNNNNNNNNNNNNNNNNNNNNNNNNNNNNNNNNNNNNNNNNNNNNNNNNNNNNNNNNNNNNNNNNNNNNNNNNNNNNNNNNNNNNNNNNNNNNNNNNNNNNNNNNNNNNNNNNNNNNNNNNNNNNNNNNNNNNNNNNNNNNNNNNNNNNNNNNNNNNNNNNNNNNNNNNNNNNNNNNNNNNNNNNNNNNNNNNNNNNNNNNNNNNNNNNNNNNNNNNNNNNNNNNNNNNNNNNNNNNNNNNNNNNNNNNNNNNNNNNNNNNNNNNNNNNNNNNNNNNNNNNNNNNGGUAUAUAAAGAGGGGGGGAGCAAGCUUGGAGGAGGGGGCAAGCUCCGGGGCGGCUCGGUCCCGUGUCCAUGGAGGACACGGCGGCGGCGCUCUCCCGUGCGGAGGAAGGAGAGGGCGCGGGCGGGCCGGCGCUCGGCUGGGCUGCGGCCCGGUCGGGCGUCGCUCGUUUUUUAAAAAAUAAGUUCCACGGAAAAUAAUUCCCAGAAAACUAAAUAAAAAUCAGAAAAAUAUAAAAUAAAUUUUCCCCAUCUAGUUAGAAAAUCUAGAAUAGGGUGAACAUUUUUUUAAAUCAAAAUAAAUAUUUUGAAAAACAUGCAACAUUUUUAAUGCAAUAAAAAGUGCAAAUAAAAUCCGAAUAAAUUCCAAUAAAAGAUUUUAACAUUUUUCCUCCAGUAUUUCAAUGGUUUUGGAGAAGUCAUAUUUUCUCCUCUCGUUUAUUUUUAAAAUGAAAUAUUUUUCCGAAGAGAAAAUAAUUAAAACGAAAAUCCUCGUUUUAUAAUUUGACGAAAAUCAAAUAUGAAAAAUUCAAGAAAAUCCCCAACUCUCUCCGAGGGUCCUUGAGUUGCUUAGGAUUUAUCGAGGAUUUGUCAAAAUGUAAUAAAACAUGAUAUGCAAUGAUGAUCUAUGUAUAACAUACCAAAUUGAAAAUUUGGGAUGUUACAUCUUGCUUCUAUUACCGUGCCUCCUAAUGAUCCUUUAGAACAAUAUUUGCUAGACCAUGAAAAUGAUAUGUUUAUGAAUGAAAGAAGGGAAAUAGAUGAAGUAUUCUUUAAACAGGGACCUAUUUUGAAACACAACCUGCCUGUUGAAAUUCUAGGGGAUCCUCCUCCACCCAAGGGUGAUCCCGUGUUUGAGCUUAAACCAUUACCUGAUACUCUUAAAUAUUCUUAUCUUGAUGAAAAGAAGAUAUAUCUUGUUAUUAUUAGUGCUAACCUUUCAGAGAAGGAAGAAGAGAAAUUGUUGAAAACUCUGAAGAAGCACCAUGCUGCUAUUGGAUAUAUUCUUGAUGAUCUUAAGGGCAUUAGUCCUACUCUAUGCCAGCACAAAAUUAAAUUGGAGAAAGACGCUAAACCGGUUGUUGAUCACCAACGACGGUUAAAUCCUAAGAUGAAAGAAGUGGUAAGAAAAGAAAUACUAAAGCUUCUAGAGGCAGGUAUAAUUUAUCUUGUUGCUGAUAGUCAGUGGGUAAGUCCUGUCCAUUGUGUCCUUAAGAAGGGAGGUAUUACUGUUGUUCCUAAUGAUAAAGAUGAAUUGAUCCCAUAAAGAAUUGUUACAGGUUAUAGAAUGGUAAUUGAUUUCCGCAAACUAAAUAAAGCUACUAAAAAGGAUCAUUACCCUUUACCUUUUAAUGAUCAAAUGCUAGAAAGAUUAUCCAAACAUACACAUUUUUGCUUUCUAGACGGUUAUUCUGGUUUCUCUCAAAUACCUGUGUCAAAAGAGGAUCAAGAAAAGACCACUUUUACUUGCCCUUUCGGUACCUUUGCUUAUAGACGUAUGCCUUUUGGUUUAUGCAAUGCACCUGCUACCUUUCAAAGAUGUAUGACUGCUAUAUUCUCUGACUUUUGUGAAAAGAUUGUUGAGGUUUUCAUGGAUGAUUUCUCCGUGUAUGGAACUUCUUUUGAUGAUUGCUUAAGCAACCUUGAUCGAGUUUUCAGAGAUGUGAAGAAACUAAUCUUGUCUUGAAUUGGGAGAAGUGCCACUUUAUGGUUAAUGAAGGUAUUGUCUUGGGGCAUAAAAUUUCUGAAAGAGGUAUUGAAGUGGAUAAAGCUAAAGUUGAUGCUAUUCAAAAGAUGACGUGUCCUAAGGACAUUAACGGUAUAAGAAGUUUUCUUGGUCAUGCCGGUUUUCAUAGGAGGUUCAUUAAAGACUUCUCAAAAAUUUCUAGGCCUCUGACUAAUCUCUUACAAAAAGAUGUUCCUUUUGUCUUCGAUGAUGAUUGUGUAGAAGCAUUUGAAAUACUUAAGAAAGCCUUGAUUUCUGCACCUAUUGUUCAGCCACCUGAUUGGAAUUUACCCUUUGAAAUUAUGUGUGAUGCUAGUGAUUAUGUUGUGGGCACUGUUCUAGGACAAAGAGUUGAUAAGAAAUUAAAUGUUAUUCAAUAUGCUAGUAAAACUCUAGACAGUGCCCAGAGAAAUUAUGCUACUACUGAAAAAGAAUUUUUAGCAGUUGUAUUUGCUUGUGAUAAGUUCAGACCUUAUAUUGUUGAUUCUAAAGUAAUUGUUCACACUGAUCAUGCUGCUAUUAAAUAUCUUAUGGAAAAGAAAGAUGCUAAACCUGGACUUAUUAGAUGGGUUCUCCUACUAGAAGAAUUUGAUUUGCAUAUUAUUGGUAGAAAGGGAGCUGAGAAUCCCGUUGCAGACAACUUAUCUAGGUUAGAGAAUGUUCUUGAUGACCCACUACCUAUUGAUGAUAGCUUUCCUGAUGAACAAUUAGCUAUCAUAAAUGCUUCUCGUCCUGCUCCAUGGUAUGCUGAUUAUGCUAAUUACAUUGUUGCUAAAUUUAUACCACCUAGUUUCACAUACCAACAAAAGAAAAAGUUUUUCUAUGAUUCAAGACAUUACUUCUGGGAUGACCCACACCUUUAUAAAGGAGUAGAUGGUGUUAUUAGACGUUGUGUACCUGAGCAUGAACAGGAACAGAUCCUACGCAAGUGUCACUCCGGGGCUUAUGGAGGACACCACGCUGGAGAUGGAACUGCGCAUAAGGUAUUGCAAUCCGGUUUUUAUUGGCCUACUCUUUUCAAAGAUGCCCGUAAGUUUGUCUUGUCUUGUGAUGAAUGUCAAAGAAUUGGUAAUAUUAGUAGACGUCAAGAAAUGCCUAUGAACUAUUCACUUGUUAUUGAACAAUUUGAUGUUUGGGGCUUCGAUUAUAUGGGGCCAUUUCCUUCCUCUAAUGGGUAUACACAUAUUUUAGUUGUUGUUUAUUACGUUACUAAGUGGGUAGAAGCUAUUCCAACUAGUAGUGCUGAUCAUAACACCUCUAUUAAGAUGCUUAAACAAGUUAUUUUCCCGAGGUUUGGAGUCCCUAGAUACUUAAUGACCGAUCGUGGUUCACAUUUUAUUCAUGGUGCCUUUCGUAAAAUGCUUGUUAAGUAUGAUGUUAAUCAUAGAAUUGCAUCUCCAUACCACCCACAAUCUAGUGGUCAAGUAGAACUAAGUAAUAGAGAAAUUAAAUUAAUUUUGCAAAAGACUGUUAAUAGAUCUAGAAAGAAUUGGUCCAAAAAACUUGAUGAUGCAUUAUGGGCCUAUAGAACUGUAUAUAAAAAUCCUAUGGGUAUGUCUCCAUAUAAAAUGGUUUAUGGAAAAGCAUGUCACUUACCUCUCGAACUAGAACAUAAGGCAUAUUGGGCCAUUAAAGAGCUCAGUUAUGAUUUCAAGCAUGUCGUUGAGAAGAGACUAUUUGACAUUAGCUCACUUGAUGAGUGGAGAACCUAGGCCUAUGAGAAUGCCAAACUGUUUAAAGAAAAAGUUAAAAGAUGGCAUGAUAAAAGGAUAAAAAAGCGUGAGUUUAAUGUAGGUGAUUAUGUUUUGUUAUACAACUCUCGUUUGAGAUUUUUUGCACGGAAACUCCUCUCUAAAUGGGAAGGUCCUUACGUUAUCGAGGAGGUCUAUCAUUCCGGUGCCAUAAAAAUCAACAACUUAGAAGGCACAAAUCCGAAGGUGGUGAACGGUUAAAGAAUCAAACAUUAUAUCUCAGGUAAUCCAAUAAAUGUUGAAACUAAUGUUAUUGAAACCGUAACCCCAGAGGGAUACAUAAGGGACACUUUCCAGAACGUUUCAGACUCCGAAAAGGAAUAGGUAUGUGGUACGGUAGGUAAACCGACUCCCAAACAGUUCUAAUAGCAAUUUUUCUCCAUUUUGGAAUAUUUAAGAAAAUAGGAAAAUAAGAAGUAGUCCGAAAAGGACACGAGGCAUCCACGAGGGUGGAGGGCGCGCCCCCUGCCUCGUGGGCCCUCCGGACUCCAUUUUCUUGCACGAUACUUCUUUUGGUAGGUGAAAAUUCAUUAUAUAAUCUCCCAAAGGUUUUGACCCUCGUACCACGCAAAAAUCCUCUGCUUUUGUUUCGAGUUGUUUUUUGACAGAUCUAGAUCAUCAUGACGUCUUCAAGCGCUCCCAAGGACAAAUUAUUGAAGAAGGUCAUCAACCCCUACCUCGCGGAGGUGCUACAACACCCUCAAACCAUUGAGAUGCAUGAGGGGGUGCUGCACAUCCGCAAUGUUGAGGGACCAAGGAGGACCGGAAGCGUGGAGACAAGGCUCGAAGCAAUGGAGCAACAAGUUUUCAACUGCCAGGAGAUGGUGGAACGUGGACUCGAUGCCAACCACAUAAUGAUCAUGGAGUUCACCAACAACCACAAGCUAGAUGCCAAGAACAUUGGGGAGACCAUCUUCAAGCUUCACGAGAAAAUCGAGCACCUCCAAGCCCAGAUCUAUGACCUACAAAACCAAAAUUGUGAGUAUGAAUAUAGAUUCAAGAGGAUGAGUUUGGCUGCAGAUUUGAGGAUCCCGGAGACUCGAUCAUCCUUAUAUGAUGGUGAGCCUAUUCCUUCGAAGAGGGACGACAAGCCUACAUCAUCAUCAACUCCAUCAUCACCACCUCCGAAGAAAGAGACAUAAAUACAUGGGUAUGGGCACUCCCCUUGGCAACUGCUAAGCUUGGGGAGGUGCCCCGGUAUCGUAUCACCAUCACACUCCUAUCUUUACCGUUUUUCUUAGUUCGAUCCUUUUGGUAAUAUCUUGAUCUAGUAGAAUAAAGUUUCAGUAUGAUCUAGUUUUGAGUUAUGCUUUAUGAUCCUUCUAUGUAAUCAAGUCCGUGAGCUAUAUAUAAUAAAGAUUAGUUUUGAGUCGAGGGCUUGGUUAUCUUGCUAUGAUCUUGAGGGAAUAAAAGAAAGAAUAAAAAGACUUAAAGAGAUCAUAUAGAUCUUAUGGAGAGUAAUGACUUCACAUAUAAAAGAGUAUGAUGAAUAAAAGUUGUUGAGAGUUGACAAACAUAGUUUUGGUCAUCGUUGCAAUUAAUAGGAAGUAAUAAAGAAAGAGAGAUUUUCACAUAUAAAUAUACUAUCUUGGACAUCUUUUAUGAUUGUGAGCACUCAUUAAAAUAUGACAUGCUAAAAAGUUGAUGUUGGACAAGGAAGACAACGUAAUGGGUUAUGUUUGCUUAUAUCCGAAAUAAAGUAUUGUCAUGGAUCAUCCAACAUGUUGAGCUUGCCUUCCCCCCUCAUGCUAGCCAAAUUCUUUGCACCAAGUAGAGAUACUACUUGUGCUUCCGAAUAUCCUUAAACCCAGUUUUUCCAUGAGAGUCCACCAUAUCUACCUAUGGAUUGAGUAAGAUCCUUCAAGUAAGUUGUCAUUGUUGCAUGCAAUAAAAAUUGCUCUCUAAAUAUGUAUGAUCUAUUAGUGUGGACAAAAUAAGCUUUAUACGAUCUUGUGAUAUAGAAGCAAUAAAAGCGAUGGACUGCAUAAUAAAAGUCCAUAUCAUAAGUGCUAAUAUAAAGUGACGUUCUUUUGCAUUAAGAUUUUGUGCAUCCAACCAUAAAGGCACAUGACAACCUCUGCUUCCCUCUGCGAAGGGCCUAUCUUUUAUUUUUUGCUUUAUGUCUUAUGCAAGAGUCGCGGUGAUCUUCACCUUUCAUUUUUACAUUUGAUCCUUUGGCAAGCACACUGUGUUGGAAAGAUCCUGAUAUAUAUAUCCAAUUGGAUGUAAGUUAGCAUGAACUAUUAUUGUUGACAUUACCCUUGAGGUAGAAGGUUGGGAGGCAACACUAUAAGCCCCUAUCUUUCUCUGUGUCCGAUUAAAACUCCAUACCCAUAAGUAUUGCGUGAGUGUUAGCAAUUGUGAAAGACUAAAUGAUAAUUGAGUAUGUGGACUUGCUGAAAAGCUCUUAUAUUGACUCUUUCCAAUGUUAUGAUAAAUUGCAAUUGCUUCAUUGACCGAGAUCAUAGUUUGUUAGCUUUCAAUGAAGUUUCUGAUUCAUACUUGACAUUGUGAAUAGAUUGUUACUUUAGCAUAAGAAAUCACAUGACAAUAUAUAUAUAUAUAUAUAUAUAUAUAUAUAUAUAUGUUGCUAUUAUAAGAAUGAUCAUGAUGCCCUCAUGUCCGUAUUUUAUUUUAUCGACACCUCUAUCUCUAAACAUGUGGACAUAUUUUUCGAUAUCGGCUUCCGCUUGAGGACAAGCGAGGUCUAAGCUUGGGGGAGUUGAUACGUCCAUUUUGCAUCAUGCUUUUAUAUCGAUAUUUAUUGCAUUAUGGGAUGUUAUUACACAUUAUGUCACAAUACUUAUGCCUAUUCUCUCUUAUUUUACAAGGUUUACACGAAGAGGGAGAAUGCCGGCAACUGCAAUUCUGGGCUAGAAAAGGAGCAAAUAUUAGAGACCUAUUCUGCACAACUCCAAAAGUCCUGAAAUUCCACAAAAGUCAGUUUUGAAAUAUAUAAAAAAUACUGGGUGAAGAAAGUACCAGAGGGAGGCCACCCACCAUCGACAAGGGUGGGGGGCGCGCCCCCUGCCUCGUGGGCCCCCUGGCAGGCCUCCGGUGCCCAUCUUUGGGUUUAUGAAGUCUUUCGCCAUGGAAAAAAUCAGAAGGAAGCUUUCGGGAUGAAGCGCUGCCGUCUCGAGGCGGAACCUGGCGAAACCAAUCUAGGGCUCCGGCGGAGCUGUUCUGCCGGGGAAACAUCCCUCUGAGAGGGGGAAAUCAUCACCAUCGUCAUCACCAUCGAUCCUCUCAUCGGGAGGGGGUCAAUCUCCAUCAACAUCUUCACCAUCACCAUCUCAUGUCAAACCCUAGUUCAUCUCUUGUAUCCAAUCUUUGUCUCAAAACCUCAGAUUGGUACCUGUGGGUUGCUAGUAGUCUUGAUUACUCCUUGUAGUUGAUUCUAGUUGGUUUAUUUGGUGGAAGAACAUAUGUUCAGAUCCUUUAUGCAUAUUAAUAUCCCUCUGAUUAUGAACAUGAAUAUGAUUUGUGAGUAGUUACGUUUGUUCCUAAGGACAUGGGAGAAGUCUUGCUAUAAGUAGUCAUGUGAAUUUGGUAUUCGUUCGAUAUUUUGAUGAGAUGUAUCACUACAAGAAAUAUGUCAACUUGUGACCACCACUAUUUGUCACUGAAUGGUCAUUGUUUUCCAUUUGUGACCUUUCUGUGACCAAAAACAGAAGGUCAAAAGCUGGUCGUCGUAAAUUGAAAUUAAUGACCUUUCUUCUAGAAUGGUCGUAGACGUUUAUGACCAAAAAAGGGUCGUAGAUUUAACGACCAAUUAUUUUGGUCACUAGCAAUCCGCCCACACCACGUCAAAUCCACCGUUGCAAGAUGACAUCGAAGAAUUACGACCAAAUGAAAAGGUCGUAAAAUAGAAUCAGCCCAGUCCAUUUCGGCCGUCUCCAUGGGCCAAGCCCAAUAAUUCAGCCCAUUUAUUUUUUUUCUCUUUAUUUUUGCUUAUCUGCAUGGGCCUGGCCCAAUAAUUUGGCCUUUUAUUUUCUGGGAAUGGAGCCUUUUCUGAUGAUUUUUUUUAAAGUCCACUAUUGUUUUGGGCCACAGCCUUUUUAGUCUAGUUCUAAUUUGGGCCACCUUUUUAUUUUCUGGGAUGCAGCCUUUUACAAACUUUUUUCUUAUAGUCAACUCUUUUAUUAGGCCCAAGCCUUUUUAGUCUAAUUCUUGUUUGGGCCUCGGUCUUUUUGCAGUCCAACUAAGUUUAAUCCAAAUAAUAUUCAAAAAAUAAUUUAGAAAAUGCAUAACUUCACAGGUUCAUAACUUCAUAGAAAAGGCAUAGCUUCCAAAAUGCCAUGACAGGUUCAAACAAGUGCUCACAGGUUCAAAAUGCCAUCACAGGUUCAAACAAGUGCUCACAGGUUCAAACAGGUGCAAAAUGCAAAAUGCUCCCAGGUUCACAAGAUCCCAGGUUCACAAGUGCUCCCAGUUUCACUUGCCAAGUGCAAAAUGCAACAAACUGCAUAAGACGACCUACUACGACAUAAGUUCACAUGUUCAAAGACAAACUGCACAGCCAUCAAACUACCUUAGCUCCAAAGAGAGCCAUCAAGUAGGCUAACUUCUCAUCCUGCCCUUGAGACUUCUUGCACAGCAGCUCAAGUUCCUUGUCGCGUUCAGCUUCAGCUUCUUUCGCCUUCAUCUUGAUUGCCGCCAAUUCUUCUUGCAUCACUUCAGCUUGAAGCUCCGACCUCUCCAGCUUCUGCUCAAGAUCACGAACAUGAGCAGCCACUUCAGCAGUUGCUUUGCCGGAGUUGUUCCUAGAUGUUUGGAGCCCAACAUUCCUGAGGAAUGUGCUUUGCUUGACUUCGGUCUUGAGCACUUCUUCAACAAUUUCAAAAGCAGACUUUGGCUCUUCACCUUCUGGUACCGGCGCGUCCUUCAUUUUUUUCAUCUCAAGCUAGCAUAUGGAGGAAAAUGAUAUGCAUUAGUGGGAGAUCUAUUUCACAUUUUGCAAACCAAACCAAGCAAGAGAAACCAAACCAGCACACAAAUGUAUUAUUUGAAGUAACCAAACCAGCACACAAAAUCUAUAUAUAGAUAUUUUACUCAAACUCAAACAGAAGAAGAUGAUGACUAGUAACUUGACAACAUUAUUUGACUAGUAACUUAUGUGACCUGGAGACAUGCAAUUGGAACAAUAUGAUCACUUCAUUAAGCCUAGAAUGGUGGUUCUAUAUAAGAUGGCUUCCCGAGUGAGCUGAUCAUCAAACUAACAUUCAGAUAAAAAUUCAUCAUAUCAUAAAAAAUGCAACAAAUAGCUAUGCUACCUCUUGAGCACUGUGUUGGUUUUCCCUUGAAGAGGAAAGGGUGAUGCAGUAAAGUAGCGUAAGUAUUUCCCUCAGUUUUUUAGAACCAAGGUAUCAAUCCACUAGGAGGCCACGAUCAAGUCCCUCGCACCUACACAAACAAAUAAAAACCUCGCAACCAACGCAAUAAAGGGGUUGUCAAUCCCUUCACGGACACUUACGAAAGUGAGAUCUGAUAGAUAUGAUAAGAUAAUAUUUUUGGUAUUUUUAUAAUAAAGAUGGAAAGUAAAAUAAAAGGUAAUAAAAAUAGCUAAGUAUUGGAAGAUUAAUAUGACAGAAAAUAGACCGGCGGGCCAUAGGUUUCACUAGUGGCUUCUCUCAAGAGCAUAAGUAUUACGGUGGGUGAACAAAUUACUGUUGAGCAAUUGACAGAAUUGAGCAUAGUUCUGAGAAUAUCUAGGUAUGAUCAUGUAUAUAGGCAUCACGUCUGCGACAAGUAGACCGACUCCUACCUGCAUCUACUACUAUUACUCCACACAUCGACCGCUAUCCAGCAUGUAUCUAGAGUAUUAAUUUCAAAAGAACAGAGUAACGCUUUAAGUAAGAUGACAUGAUGUAGAGGGAUAAACUCAUGCAAUAUGAUAUAAACCCCAUCUUGUUAUCCUCGAUGGCAACAAUACAAUACGUGCCUUACUGCCCCUACUGUCACUGGGAAAGGACACCGCAAGAUUGAACCCAAAGCUAAGCACUUCUCCCAUUGCAAGAAAGAUCAAUCUAGUAGGCGAAACCAAACUAAUAAUUCGAAGAGACUUGCAAAGAUAACCAAUCAUACAUAAAAGAAUUCAGAGAAGAUUCAAAUAUUGUUCACAGAUAAACUUGAUCAUAAACCCACAAUUCAUCGGUCUCAACAAACACACCGCAAAAGAAGAUUGCAUCGAAUAGAUCUCCACGAGAAUCGUGGAGAACUUUGUAUUGAGAUCCAAAGAGAGAGAAGAAGCCAUCUAGCUAAUAACUAUGGACCCGAAGGUCUGAGGUAAACUACUCACACAUCAUCGGAGAGGCUAUGGUGUUGAUGUAGAAGCCCUUCGUGAUCAAUGCCCCCUCCGGCAGGACGCUGGAAAAGGCCCCAAGAUGGGAUCUCACGGGUACAGAAGGUUGCGGCGGUGGAAUUAGGUAUUCGUGGAUGCUUCUGUUGGUUUGGGGGCACGUGGGUAUAUAUAGGAGGAAGAAGUACGUCGGUGGAGCAACGUGGGCCCCACGAGGGUGGAGGGUGCGCCAGGGGGUAGGCGCGCGCCCCUGCCUCGUGCUCUCCUGGUUGCUUUCUUGACGUAGGGUCCAAGUCCUCUGGAUCACGUUCGUUCCGAAAAUCACGUUCCGGAAAGUUUCAUUCCGUUUGGACUCCAUUUGAUAUUCUUUUUCUACGAAACUCUGAAAUAGGCAAAAAAAAUAGCAAUUUGGGCUGGGCCUCCGGUUAAUAGGUUAGUCCCAAAAAUAAUAUAAAAGUGUAUAAGAAAGCCCAUUAAUCAUCCAAAACAGAAUAUAAUAUAGCAUGAAGCAAUCAAAAAUUAUAGAUACGUUGGAGACGUAUCAAGCAUCCCCAAGCUUAAUUCCUGCUCGUCCUCGAGUAGGUAAAUGAUAAAAACAGAAUUUUUGAUGCGGAAUGCUACUUGGCAUAAUUUCAGUGUAAUUCUCUUAAUUGUGGUGUGAAUGUUCAGAUCCGAAAGAUUCAAGACAAAAGUUUAAUAUUGACAUAAAAAUGAUAAUACUUCAAGCAUACUAACUAAGAAAUUAUGUCUUCUCAAAUAACAUGGCCAAAGAAAGUUAUCCCUACAAAAUCAUAUAGUCUGGCUAUGCUCUAUCUUCACCACACAAAGUAUUUAAAUCAUGCACAACCCCGAUGACAAGCCAAGCAAUUGUUUCAUACUUUUGGUGUUCUCAAACCUUUUCAAUCUUCAAGCAAUACAUGAGCGUGAGCCAUGGACAUAGCACUAUAUGUGGAAUAGAAUGGUGGUUGUGGAGAAGACAAAAAAGGGAGAAGAUAGUCUCACAUCAACUAGGCGUAUCAACGGGCUAUGGAGAUGCCCAUUAAUAGAUAUCAAUGUGAGUGAGUAGGGAUUGCCAUGCAACGGGUGCACUAGAGCUAUAAGUAUAUGAAAGCUCAACAAAAGAAACUAAGUGGGUGUGCAUCCAACUCACUUGCUCACGAAGACCUAGGGCAUUUUGAGGAAGCCCGUCAUUGGAAUAUACAAGCCAAGUUCUAUAAUGAAAAAUUUCCCACUAGUAUAUGAAAGUGAUAUCAUAGGAGACUCUCUAUCAUGAAGAUCAUGGUGCUACUUUGAAGCACAAGUGUGGUAAAAGGAUAGUAACAUUGUCCCUUCUCUCUUUCUCUCUCUUUUUUUUGGGCCUUUUCUCUUUUUUUAUGGCCUCUUUUUUGCUCUCCUUUUUUUUAUUUUUCGUCCGCAGUCUCAUCCUGACUUGUGGGGGAAUCAUAGUCUCCAUCAUCCUUUCCUCACUUGGGACAAUGCUCUAAAAAUGAUGAUCAUCACACUUUUAUUUACUUACAACUCAAUAAUUACAAAAAAAUACUUAGAACAAAAUAUGACUCUAUGUGAAUGCCUCCGGCGGUGUACCGGGAUAUGCAAUGAAUCAAGAGUGACAUGUAUGAAAGAAUUAUGAACGGUGGCUUCGCCACAAAUACGAUGUCAACUACAUGAUCAUGCGAGGCAAUAUGACAAUGAUGGAGCAUGUCAUAGUAAACGGAAUGGUGGUGAGUUGCAUGGCAAUAUAUCUCGGAAUGGCUAUGGAAAUGCCAUGAUAGGUAGGUAUGGUGGCUGUUUUGAGGAAGGUAUAUGGUGGGUGUAUGAUACCGGCGGAAAGUGCGCGGUAUUAGAGAGGUUAGCAAUGGUGGAAGGAAGAGAGUGUGUAUAAUCCAUGGACUCAGUAUUAGUCAUAAAGAACUCAUAUGCUUAUUGCAAAAAUCUACAAGUUAUCAAAGCAAAGUAUUACGCGCAUGCUCCUAGGGGGAUAGAUUGGUAGGAAAAGACUAUCGCUCAUCCCCGACCGCCACUCAUAAGGAAGACAAUCAAUAAAUAAAUCAUGCUCCGACUUCAUCACAUAACGGUUCACCAUACGUGCAUGCUACGGGAAUCACAAACUUUAACACAAGUAUCUCUCAAAUCCACAACUACUCAACUAGCAUGACUCUUAAUAUCACCAUCUUUAUAUCUCAAAACAAUUAUCAAGCAUCAAACUUCUCAUAGUAUUCAACACACUCGUAAGAAUUUUUUUACUAAUCUUGAAUGCCUAUGAUAAUUAAAGCAAAUUACCACGCUGUUUUGUAGGACUCUCAAAAUAAUAUAAGUGAAUCAUGAGAGAACAAUAGUUUCUAUAAAACAAAUCCACCACCGUGUUCUAAAAGAUAUAAGUGAAGCACUAGAGCAAAAACUAUAUAGCUCAAAAGAUAUAAGUGAAGCACAUAGAGUAUUCUAAUAAAUUCUGAAUCAAGUGUGUCUCUCUCAAAAGGUGUGUAUAGCAAGGAUGAUUGUGGCAAAUUAACAAAUAAAGACUCAAAUAAUACAAGACGCUCCAAGCAAAACACAUAUCAUGUGGUGAAUAAAAAUAUAGCUCCAAGUAAAGUUAUCGAUGGAAGUAUACGAAAAAGGGGAUGCGUUCCAGGGCAUCCCCAAGCUUUGGCUUUUUGGUGUCCUUAGAUUAUCUUGGGGUGCCAUGGGCAUCCCCAAGCUUAGGCUCUUGCUACUCCUUGUUCCAUAAUCCAUCAAAUCUUUUACCCAAAACUUGAAAACUUCACAACACAAAACUUAACAGAAAAUCUCGUGAGCUCCGUUAGCGAAAGAAAACAAAACACCACUUUAAGGUACUGUAAUGAACUCAUUCUUUAUUUAUAUUGGUGUUAAAUCUACUGUAUUCCAACUUCUCUAUGGUUUAUAAACUAUUUUAUUAGACAUAGAUUCAUCAAAAUAAGCAAACAACACACGAAAAACAGAACAGUCUGUAGUAAUCUGUAACUAACGCAAACUUCUGGAACUCAAAAACUUCAGCCGAAAUAGGACGACCUAGACAAUUUUUUUAUUGAUCAGCGGAAAUUGGAAUCAAUAUUUUAUCACGUUCUGGUGAUUUUUAACAAUUAUUUUCGUGAACAGAAAGUUUCUGGAAUUUACAGCAAGAUCAAAUAACUAUCAUCCAAGAAGAUCCUACAGGUUUAACUUGGCACAAACACUAAUUAAAACAUAAAAACAAAUCUAACCAGAGGCUAGAUUAAAGAUUUAUUCCUAAACAGAAGCAAAAAAAACUAAAAUAAAAUUGGGUUGCCUCUCAACAAGCACUAUCGUUUAACGCCCCUAGCUAGGCAUAAAAGCAAGGCUAGAUCUAGGUAUUGCCAUCUUUGGUAGGCAAUCCAUAAGUGGCUCUCAUAAUAGAUUCAUAUGGUAGUUUAAUUUUCUUUCUGGGGAAGUGUUCCAUGCCUUUCUUUAACAGAAAUUGGAAUCUAAUAUUCCCUUCCUUCAUAUCAAUAAUUGCACCAAUCGUUCUAAGGAAAGGUCUACCAAGAAUAAUAGGACAUGAAGGAUUGCAAUCUAUGUCAAGAACAAUAAAAUAUACGGGCACAUAGUUCCUAUUUGCAACAAUAAGAACAUCAUUAAUUCUUCCCAUAGGUUUCUUAAUGGUGGAAUCCGCAAGGUGCAAGUUUAAAGAACAAUCAUCAAAAUCACGGAAACCUAGCAAAUCACAUAAAGUUUUUGGGAUCGUGGAAACACUAGCACCCAAAACACACAAAGCAUAGCAUUCAUGAUCUUUAAUUUUAAUUUUAAUAGUAGGUUCCCACUCAUCAUCAAGUUUUCUAGGGAUAGAAACUUCCAACUCAAGUUUUUCUUCAUAAGAUUGCAUCAAAGCAUCAACGAUAUGUUUAGUAAAAGCUUUAUUUUGACUGUAAGCAUGAGGAUAAUUUAGAAUGGAUUGCAAAAAGGAAAUACAAUCUAUCAAAGAGCAAUUAUCAUAAUUAAAUUCCUUAAAAUCCAAAAUAGUGGGUUCAUUAAUAUCUAGAGUUUUGAUCUCUUCAAUCCCACUUUUACCAAUGUUUGCAUCAAGAUCUAAAAACUCCGAAUUUUUGGAACGCCUUCUAGGUAAAGGUGGCUCAUAUUCAGUCCCAUCAUUAUCAAGAUUCAUAUUGCAAAACAAAGAUUUAAUAGGAGACACAUCAAUAACUUUUAGAUCUUCAUCUUUAUUUUCAUAGAAAUUAGAAGAACACGCUUUCACAAAGCAAUCUUUCUUAGCACGCAUCCUAGCGUUUCUUUCUUUGCACUCAUCGAUGGAAAUUCUCAUGGCUUUGAGAGACUCAUUGAUAUCAUGCUUAGGUGGAAUAGAUCUAAGUUUCAAAGAAUCAACAUCAAGAGAAAUUCUAUCAACGUUCCUAGCCAAUUCAUCAACUUUAAGCAAUUUUUCUUCAAGCAAAGCAUUGAAAUUCUUUUGUGAAUUCAUAAACUCUUUAACACUAGUCUCAAAUUCAGAGGGCAUCUUAUUAAAAUUUCCAUAAGAGUUGUUGUAGGAAUUACCAUAAUUAUUAGAGGAAUUACUAGGAUACGACCUAGGAUUAAUUUUCCUCUAUACGCGUUGUUACCAAAAUUAUUCCUACCAACAAAAUUCACAUCCAUAGAUUCAUUAUUAUUCUCAAUCAAAGUAGACAAAGGCAUAUCAUUAGGAUCGGAAGAAACACUUUUAUUAGCAAAUAAUUUCAUAAGUUCAUCCAUGUUUCCACUCAAAACAUUAAUUUCUUCUAUCGCAUGCACUUUCUUAUCUGUAGAUCUUUCAGUGUGCCAUUGAGAAUAAUUAACCAUAAUAUUAUCUAGGAGUUUAGUAGCUUCUCCUAAAGUAAUUUCCAUAAAAGUGCCUCCCGCGGCCGAAUCUAAAAGAUUUCUAGAAGAAAAAUUCAAUCCGGCAUAGAAAUUUUGUAUAAUCAUCCACAAAUUCAAACCAUGUGUAGGGCAAUUACGUAUCAUUAAUUUCAUCCUCUCCCAAGCUUGUGCAACAUGUUCAUGAUCAAGUUGCUUAAAAUUCAUAAUAUCGUUUCUAAGAGAGAUGAUCUUAGCGGGAGGAAAAUACUUAGAGAUAAAAGCAUCUUUGCACUUAUUCCAAGAAUCAAUACUAUUUUUAGGCAAAGACGAAAACCAAGCUUUAGCAUGAUCUCUAAGCGAAAAAGGAAAUAGCUUUAACAAUAUCAUUGUCCACAUUUUUCUUCUUUUGCAUAUCACACAAAUCAACGAAGCUAUUUAGAUGGGUAGCGGCAUCUUCACUAGGAAGGCCGGCGAAUUGAUCUUUCAUGACAAGAUUCAACAAAGCAGCAUUAAUUUCACAAGAUACAGUAUCGGUAAGAGCAGCAAUCGGAGUGCUAAGAAAAUCAUUGUUUUUGGUAUUGGUAAAGUCACAUAACUUAGUAUUAUCUUGAGCCAUCGUGACAAGCAAGCAAUCCAACACACGAGCAAACAAUAAGCAAGCGAAAAAGAGGCGAACGGAAAAGAGAGGGCGAAUAAAACGGCAAGGGUGAAGUGGGGGAGAGGAAAACGAGAGGCAAAUGGCAAAUAAUGUAAUGCGGGAGAUAAGAGUUUGUGAUGGGUAGUUGGUAUGUUGACUUUUGCGUAGACUCCCCGGCAACGGCGCCAGAAAUGGCUCGUUGUCGGGAGUCAAAUUUUGGCUUGACUUGGUGUAGGCCUCCCCGGCACCGGCGCCAGAAAUCCUUCUUAAUACCUCUUGAGCACUGCGUUGGUUUUCGCUUGAAGAGGAAAGGGUGAUGUAGUAAAGUAGCAUAAGUAUUUCCCUCAGUUUUUGAGAACCAAGGUAUCAAUCCAGUAGGAGGCCAUGCUCAAGUCCCUCGCACCUACACAAACAAAUAAAAACCUCGCAACCAACACAAUAAAGGGGUUGUCAAUCCCUUCACGGUCACUUACGAAAGUGAGAUCUGAUAGAUAUGAUAAGAUAAUAUUUCUGGCAUUUUUAUAAUAAAGAUGCAAAGUAAAAUAAAAGGUAAUAAAAAUAGCUAAGUGUUGGAAGAUUAAUAUGAUCGAAAAUAGACCCGGGGGCCAUAGGUUUCACUAGUGGCUUCUCUCAAGAGCAUAAGUAUUAUGGUGGGUGAACAAAUUACUGUUGAGCAAUUGACAGAAUUGAGCAUAGUUAUGAGAAUAUCUAGGUAUGAUCAUGUAUAUAGGCAUCACGUCCGCGACAAGUAGACCGACUCAUGCCUGCAUCUACUACUAUUACUCCACACAUCGACCGCUAUCCAGCAUGCAUCUAGAGUAUUAAGUUCAAAAGAAUAGAGUAACGCUUUAAGUAAGAUGACAUGAUGUAGAGGGAUAAACUCAUGCAAUAUGAUAUAAACCCCAUCUUGUUAUCCUCAAUGGCAACAAUACAAUACGUGCCUUGCUGCCCCUACUGUCACUGGGAAAGGACACCGCAAGAUUGAACCCAAAGCUAAGCACUUCUCCCAUUGCAAGAAAGAUCAAUCUAGUAGGCCAAACCAAACUGAUAAUUCGAAGAGACUUGCAAAGAUAACCAAUCAUACAUAAAAGAAUUCAGAGAAGAUUCAAAUAUUGUUCAUAGAUAAACUUGAUCAUAAACCCACAAUUCAUCGGUCUCAACAAACACACCGCAAAAGAAGAUUACAUCGAAUAGAUCUCCACGAGAAUCGUGGAGAACUUUGUAUUGAGAUCCAAAGAGAGAGAAGAAGUCAUCUAGCUAAUAACUAUGGACCCGAAGGUCUGAGGUAAACUACUCACACAUCAUCGGAGAGGCUAUGGUGUUGAUGUAGAAGCCCUCCGUGAUCAAUGCCCCCUCCGGCAGGACGCCGGAAAAGGCCCCAAGAUGGGAUCUCACGGGUACAGAAGGUUGCGGCGGUGGAAUUAGGUUUUCGUGGAUGCUUCUGUUGGUUUGGGGGUACGUGGGUAUAUAUAGGAGGAAGAAGUACGUCAGUGGAGCAACGUGGGCCCCACGAGGGUGGAGGGCGCACCCAGGGGGUAGGCGCACCCCCCUAUCGCGUGCUCUCCUGGUUGCUUUCUUGACGUAGGGUCCAAGUCCUCUGGAUCACAUUCAUUCCGAAAAUCACGUCCCCGAAGGUUUCAUUCCGUUUGGACUCCGUUUGAUAUUCUUUUUCUGCGAAACUCUGAAAUAGGCAAAGAAAACAGCAAUUUGGGCUGGGCCUCUGGUUAAUAGGUUAGUCCCAAAAAUAAUAUAAAAGUGUAUAACAAAGCCCAUUAAUCAUCCAAAACAGAUUAUAAUAUAGCAUGAAGCAAUCAAAAAUUAUAGAUACGUUGGAGACGUAUCAAGCUACAGCAAGUUCUGAUAUCUUUGUUGAACUAUCAAACAACAUCAAAGCAUGGAACAUAGCGUGUGUUCUUGACUGGCUCUGAAUCAAACAGCAUCAAAGCAUCAAACAGCAUCAAAAGCAUCAAAGCUGGUUGUGAAUCAAACAGGGCUGAGGUUUAUAGACAAAAGUUUGAACUGGCUGGACAAAGCAUGGAAUGACUUACUAUAGCAGUCUUGACUGGCUCCGAAAACCCGUGCUUCUUGUUGUUGUGGGUGGCCUUAAACAAGUCAAUCGCAGACAGCUCCUCACCCUUACGCUCUUCUUUCUAAAAAAAAUUUCCACAAAAAUCAUAAUGUUAUUGAGCAAGAAUCAGAAAUGUUAUUCAACGAGGAUCAAAUGGUAAGGUCUCUAGAGAAAAGUUCUCACAGUGGCAAAAAUGUGUGCUGUGUAGUGCCUGGAACCAGUUCUCUAAUUGUAAACGACUUUUUCUCAAUUCAUCUUGUUCGACACACAGGUUUCCUACAAAAAAUCAUACUGUCAGCAUGAUCUAGCACUAGCAUAUCAUGUGCAGAACAUAAAGCAGCAAACAAAGCAGAGACAAACAUUGUGUCUUGGGGUACACCACAUCUCCACCAGAGCUUGCCAUUCACCGUCCGUCAGAUCUGGCACCGGAGACUUGAUGCUGACUUUGUUUGUGGCUACGAUAUCAAAAUACUUCUUCUUGAUCUAAUGGCGUCUGUUCUUUGAAUUUUUUCUGCAGAAUAUCUUUGUACGCGGUCUUGAUGGUCUCCUAGUCCGUGUUCAUCUCAAAAUUUGCCUACCAAGACAGGAAAAAAGGUAGGAACAAUAUUAGUGAUCAUGCAUAGGUGUAACAGAAAAUAGAUAGCACAUUAACUAUGAAACUAGUAGCUUACAACAACUUUCCCAAUGUAGUUCUCCAAUAGACUAGCAUUUUUUUGGUAUAGCUUGAAGUGAGGAAAAACCGGAAGAUGGCUUCUUGCAACGAGUCCACACUCAGAAGCAAGCUUUGCUUCCUGCAGAGGCUUCUCUGGACGCUUCAUCCCUUCGGCAAUUUGGAUAGGCACCUUGCUACCAAGCGACUUGGUGAUUCUCUCUAGCCCUUUGCCCUUUCUAAGUCUAGUCUUGGUAGUCAUUGCAUCUGAAAAUGAAAUUGAACUCAUAAAUUAGAAUAGAAAUCGACAAAUUCAGGAAUUGACAAAAGCAUACAUGAUCAUUCCAUUUGGAAAAUGCACUAGUAAAAGAGAGCAUUGCAAAGGUCAACUUGCCUGGUUGAAGCACAAGCUGCUGUUCUUCUUCAUUGAUGACAACAUUCCUGUCAAUAGAAGGUGCAACAGGACUGAGGUCUGUGUAGACAGUGCCUGCUUCAUUUAUGCAGAUAGUUCCUCCUUCAUAUAGGCAGACAGUGCCACUUCCAUCCAUGCGGAGAGUGGUUCCUUCAUCCAUGGGCGGCAACUCAUCACCCAUUUGCACCGAGGUCUUAGAGUCCAUGCGCAGCAGACUUUCCUGAUGAUCCAUCGCAGUCGCCAUCUUUGCUUUAUGCCUUGUGACUCUAUCAGGGGCAGGUUCAUCAGGUUCCAGGAUCCUCUUUUUUUGUCCUGGAGCUGGGGCCAUCACCCUUCCUGGAGGCAUUGCAGCAGAUGUUUCUGAGCUCUUCUUCUUCUUGCUGACUGUCUUCUUAACACCAGGCCUCUUCGUCCUAGAUUCCUUCAGUGCCUCGUAUAAACAGCACAGAAAAAAGCAUUAGAUCACAAGAGAAAUAUGUGAGCACAAGAAAACACAUAGCAUACAAGAACCCCAACCCUCCAAGCAAGACAGAGUUUGCACCUUAACAGCCUUCUUCACUACGACAUCAUCCACUUCCUCUCCAUCAAUAACUUCAUCCUCCUUAGGAUUGUACUCUGGGUCAUCAUUGAUAACUCCACUACCUUCUUGAACCUCAUCACUUCUACCUUCUUGUACAUCAUUUGUUUUCCUAAUCAUCGACGCUAUUGCACCGAUGCCAAGGGAUUGGAACAUCCGAUUGUUCCUCAACAUAUUUCUAGCCCUAACCUUCUCGUACUCAGUGAGAGGCUCUUCUUUGCAUGAUAAAGGAAACGUAACUAUUAGGUGAAUUUUUGGAAUGCAUGGACAGACAACCAAACAUAUCUUAUGAUAUUUUAUUAUCAUUUAAUCCUAGUUAUUCAGGUAAGGAAGACUAACAGCAGACAGGCACAAUUAAGCCAGCUUAUUCAGAUUGCAGCAAUACAUUUCACUUAGCAUAUUAAGACAUAGAUUUUAUGAAACUGACAGUAUAACCACAAGGAACAAGUUGCAUACCAACGGUUGGCCUCAUGUUUGACCUUGUCCUCCUUGCCAUGGAUGAUCUCGAGGUGGUGCUUGCAAAAUAGAAUAAAUAACAAUCAGAUACAACAGGGAUAAAGUAAAAUGAUGCACUUGUAUCAAUAAAGGAAAGCAUUUGGACCAUCAUGCACAUACAUGUAAUACAUGUGAAACAAACUUGAUGGAUCAACAAUACAGUGAUCUAGUGUUAUUAAUUAAGCAAACAUGUAAGUGCACUAAACAAGCAUGCAUGUACACCGGAAAGAUAUGAAGCAUCUCUUAAUAUCUUCACUACAUCAAGCAGGAGGUAGUAAUGUACAUCAAGAAAUCUUCCUAGUGCCUCAUAUAAAGUACACAACAAGCAAGCAAAGUGCUAGUAGUACUGCUGAUGCAAACCCUAACCCUAUGUAUGCUAGCAAGCAACUGAAUUGAAGCAAACUAUAUAUGUGAAGCAAUGCAUUAGCAGUAAUAUAUGUGAAGCAAACUACAUGAAGCUAAGUGAAUUAAGGUUGUGGUACCAGAGACAAGAACAGAACUCACAUGUAUUACAAUUAUAUAUAGUUGGAUACAAAUACAGUGCACACGAAUUAUACUUCAGCAAUGUGGAUUAGCAAAAACAACUAUUUACAACAAUUACUUUUAUGUUUUAACUUGCAAUUUUAUCCAUGUACCUGCAAUCAUCUAUAAGCAAAUGAAUUACUCAACUGUUUUCCCUAAUGGAGGCAAGCUUAUGCAUUCAGAGCAACUGAUUUCCCAACAUUUGAUGAAUAAAGAAGCAAGCAGUGUUAACAAUAAUACUAGGACUUGAAAUCAUGCUUAUGCAGGCAAUUUAGAAGAGUAUAUCAUGAGGACCUUCAAAACAACUAGAUGUUGCCACUGCUAAAGCAUGAAACAACUACUUGCAGAAGUACAAAAGCAGAUGAAAAAACUAUACUCAACUAUUGAUUAUGUUGCCUCUACACACCAAACAUGGCUACAGACUAGAAGAACACAAAUUCAGACAUUUCGACAAUUAGAAUCAACCUUGUAUAUCACAGCACCCAAAAUUAUCUAGCACCAAUAUAGUAUAUAUUAAAACUAGUCAUACUGCCUUAACACACCAGGAAUUCCAAUACCACAAUAAGUACUAAGCAUUCUCUUGUUCACUGGAAAGAAGAACACAAGCUUCAUGCACAUAUCAUAAAAGAAGAACACUGCUACAAACCCCAUGGGCACAUCAUAAAAGAAGUCUUCUACUUGAAUAAUCAGGAUGGGCUGUUGGUAUAGCAGUGAUAUAUCAAUCACCAUGCAAACCCCUACAACAUCUGCUGCAAUGGCGUGCAACAAGAACCCUAACCCCAUCAUGUUCUAGCCAUGAACCAGAGGGAGAUCAUCCCCACGAACCCCAUGAAACCUAACCCUGACCCCAUGAACCCUAACCCUAACCCCAUGAACCAGACGGAGAUCAUCCCCAAUUCCCCAUGCAACAAUAAACAUGACCCCAUGAACAAGGACCAGGAGAUCCUAACCCUAGAAGAUCCUAGCCCAUGAUCCACCGAACCACCAGAGGGGAGAUGGAUCCAGCAGAGGAAGGGAGAUGGAUCCACCGAACGACCAAUCCUAUCCCUAACCCUAGAAUGUCAAGGGGAGAUGGAGAAGUACCUAGGGGUGGAUGAUGCUGAUGAUGCAGCGGUGGUCGUCAUCGAUGUAGCCGCCGUCGUCAUCAAUGUAGUCGAUGUAGCCACCGUCGUCGUUGAUGUAGUCGAUGUAGCCUCCGUUGUCGUCAAUGAUGCGAGCGAUGUAGCCGUCNNNNNNNNNNNNNNNNNNNNNNNNNNNNNNNNNNNNNNNNNNNNNNNNNNNNNNNNNNNNNNNNNNNNNNNNNNNNNNNNNNNNNNNNNNNNNNNNNNNNNNNNNNNNNNNNNNNNNNNNNNNNNNNNNNNNNNNNNNNNNNNNNNNNNNNNNNNNNNNNNNNNNNNNNNNNNNNNNNNNNNNNNNNNNNNNNNNNNNNNNNNNNNNNNNNNNNNNNNNNNNNNNNNNNNNNNNNNNNNNNNNNNNNNNNNNNNNNNNNNNNNNNNNNNNNNNNNNNNNNNNNNNNNNNNNNNNNNNNNNNNNNNNNNNNNNNNNNNNNNNNNNNNNNNNNNNNAGGGAGUGGGGGUGGGGCGGCACGGAGCAGGGGAGGGAGUGGGGCGGCGGGGCGGCGCGGAGCGGGGGAGAAGCUAGGGUUCGUCGAGGAGAGGGGAGGGGAAUGGAAUGGGGAAAUUUUGGGGAGUGGGAGGGGAGGGGAGUGGGAUCCCGCGUGUUUAGUGGGAGAGGGGUGGUGGAUCCCGCAUGGUAGUGGGAGAGAAGUGGUGGGAAAUUUUGGUGGGGUGGGAGGGAAAUUUUCACAAGUUUUUAGAGGUUUUGAGGCAGAAAAAAUAAGGUUUUUUAUAAACUUUGUAGAAAUAAUUGUUAAAAUCAUACCGAAUAGCUCAAGAAAACGUCAGUAUUGCAAGUUUAGUAUUUUUGCUAGUUGGUAGGCCACAUUUGAUGAUGUGACGCGGAGGUCUCACAUUUUUUUGGUUUUUUUUGAAUUUUUUACGGUGUUUUCAAAAACCGGCCGAUUUCGUCACGGCAGCCGUCCAUGGCUAGGGUUUGAGUCAUGCAAAUCUAUUGUCGAAUCUCUGAUGAAAUGCCUACCUGUGAAGCUAAAAAGGAUUUUUAGCGAAAAUAAUGGGCAAGCUAUGGAGGACCCGCGGUUCAAAUUCCAGACGGUUCCAAUUGAAUCGGCCGAAGGUUGUCUGAAUGGCCAGGAGUAGCACGAGGGUCGGAAAAGCAUGAUUUUUGGCGACCGUCCGUAAAAUAGGGUCUACUUUGAGAUAGACAUGGAAUGGCGCCGUUUGGGGUGACCCUCCUUGUAGCCGCUUCACGAAAAACGUAUGUUUUUAGCAUUCCAAAAAUGAAAAACGGUUUUUUUGUGAAACAAGUUGAAACCUAGCUUUGGCAACAUUGUUUGCCAUCACAAAACGGAGGCAUGCACCAAAUUUGGGCAUAUUAUCACAAACUAUUCAAUGAAUGCGGCCAUAUCAUUGCUAGUUUGGCAUGAAAGCCAUGAAUCUUCGUUCAUGGUAGGUCGUUUUUUAGAACACCUUUUCAUAAAAACACCGGUAUUGCAAGUUUACUAUUUUUGCUAGUUGGUAGGCCACAUUUGAUGAUAUGACAUGGAGGUCUCCCAUUUUUUGGUUUUUUUUUGAAUUUUUUACGGUGUUUUCAAAAACCGGCCGAUUUCGUCGUGGCGGCCGUCCGUGGCUAGGCUUUGAGUCGUGCCAAUCUGUUGUCGAUUCUUUGAUGAAAGGCCUACCUGUGAAGCUAAAAAGGAUUUUUAGCGAAAAUAACGGGCAAGCUAUGGAGGACCCGCAGUUCAAAUUCCAGCCGGUUCUAGCUGAAUCGGCCGAAGGUUGUCUGAAUGGCCGGGAGUAGCUACGAGGGUCGGAAAAGCAUGAUUUUUGGCGACCGUCCGUAAAAUAGGGUCUACUUUGAGAUAGACAUGGAAUGGCGCCGUUUGGGGUGCCCUCCUUGUAGCCGCUUGACGAAAAACGCAUGUUUUUAGCAUUCAAAAAAUGAAAAACCGUUUUUUUUUGUGAAACAAGUUGGAACCUAGCUUUGGCAACAUUGUUUGCCAUCAUAAGACGGAGGCAUGCGCCAAAUUUGGGCAUAUUAUCACAAACUAUUCAACGAAUGCGGCCAUAUCAUUGCUAGUUUGGCUUGAAAGCCAUGAAUCUUCGUUCAUGGUAGGUCGUUUUUGAGAACACCUUUUCAAAAAAAAACACCGGUAUUGCAAGUUUAGUAUUUUUGCUAGUUGGUAGGCCACAUUUGAUGAUGUGACGCGGAGGUCUCCCAUUUUUUAAUUUUUAUUUUAUUUUUUACGGUGUUUUAAAAAACCGGCCAAUUUCCUCGCAGUGGCCAUCUGUGGCUAGGGUUUGAGUCAUGUUUUUAGCAUUCAAAAAAUGAAACUUAUAUUGUUUCAUACAUGAGCAUGCACAAAAACCCAUAAUUUUAUCUUUCAUCCAUAAGCAUGCAUAAAAAAUUUCAAUUCCCAUCAAUUACCAAACUGAAUAUUCAUAAUUAAGAAACUGACAUGUUUAGAUGACACUGUCAUACAGCAUCCAUGAGCAUGCACAAAAUUAAACUUGACAUACUUAACAUUGACAUGUUUAGAUUACACUAACAAGCUUAAACCUAACAUGCUUAACAUUGCCACUUCAUUUCUUAACAUCUUCACUUGAUCUCCUCCUUCUUCUCCUUCAUCAACCUGAUGCGCUCAGAGUGGCGAAUCCCAACGCGGAUGUACUCCUCUACCACAAUUGGCAUGGUCCCGUCGCCAAGCUAUGGGAUUGCAGGCGCCACCACCAUCACGAGGUCAUUGUUAGGCACCACCAUUGCGAGGUCAUCAUUAGGUACCACAAUCGCGAGGUCGUCGUUAGCCACCAUAGCAAGGUUGUCGUCCGCCACCACCAUAGCAGGGUCGUCGUUAGCCACCACCAUAGCAAGGUCAUCAUCCGCCACCACCAUAGCAGGGUCCUCGUCAGCCACCAUCACAGCAAGGUCGUUGUCAGCCAGAAUAGGCUGCUCCUCGUCAUCCCCGCUCUGCUCCUCGUCAUCCCUGCUCUGCUCCUCGUCAUCCCCGCUGCUGCUCCCAUUGCCUGGCCAAAUGCAACAAAGUGCGAACAUGGUGUUGUCAUCGUGCUGGUAGAGGAAGCCAAAAGGACAGGAAGAAGAGAGGCAGAGAGCUUACUGGCAUCGUCGUCGUGCUGGUAGUACAUGCGGUACAUGGUGUUGUCGAACAUCUUCACGGUGAACAUGGCGUCGUCGUCGUAGCGGAAGACAAGGAAGUGCCCGAGCUGCAGCUCAUGGGCGCGGGCGAAAUGAUCCCAGCCGGGCCCUAGGUACAUGUGGCCUUCGCCGUCGAACACCACCAACACGUCCCACAGCCUGCGAAGCCCGCUGUCGGCCUCCCGCAGCUUCACUUUGUGGGGCUCACGGCCAGCGAGCAUCUUUGCAAACUUGUCAGGCAGCCUCUGCAGCGAGGGUCAAGUAGUGGUUAAUUGUGCCAAUCAAGCACUAGACAGCAGAGUGAUGAUAAAGAGAUGAGUGAUGAUAAAUAUACCUGCCUAUUGCAAGAUUUCUCAAUUACGAUCUCGAAGAACUCGAAACCUUCCAAGCCAGCCAUCUCACUUCUCUGAAAAGCAGCAUUGUAAUUAAACAACAAGUUACCAUAAACAGGACUGGACAUAGUUGGAACAGAACCAAGUUUAUGAUGGCAAAAGUGAGAAAAAAAGCAAUGCACUUGUGGAUAUUUAUGAUAGCAAAAGUGAGAAAAAAACAAUGCACUUGUGAACACUUGGAAUACUACUACUCUAUCUUUGCCAGAGCCUCAAUUUGGAAUACUACUACUCUAUCUACAAUGGACCAUAUCUGCCCAUGUGCCCAUGUCUGCUAUAAAUGGCAAACACAGCAUCAGGAUCAUAUCUACUAUAAAUGGACCAUAUCUACAAUGAACCAUAUCUACUAUAAAUGGACUGAACCCUAGAUUCUCAAUUUAAACACACCUACCCAAUAUAGUCAUGUACAAAACUGAACAGCUUUAUAGUCGUCGAUAUGCGCAUGAAGGCUAUUGGCUUAACAACGAUAUGCACAAAACUGAAUUUAACACUAGAAUUUCAGAGAUUCAGAGCUAUUUGCUUAAUUUGCUUUGCUAGGGUUUAUAUAGCCAAAGGCCACUGGAGGCUAGAUCCCCUACAAGUUUAACUGCUCCAGUGUGCCGCUGCAUCUUUUUAGACAAAUAUAAACAUGUUUAUUUUAAAAACAAACAAAAAAAAUUGGAACCUUCAUUCCAUUUUAACAAAAACAUUGUCAGUGACUUUAAGAUGAAGAGUUUGUACUUAACCAAACUGUUGAUUUCGUUCAUCACCGAACUCUAGUCCCUUGAAAUCAACCAUGGAAACUGAGCCAGCAUUACUACAUAUAUACUGGAUUCUGCAGCUAAGCUUAAGGAUACAAAAUUAAUUGCCAUCAAAUCAAACAAUUAUCUGAUCAGCGGCAAAUCCAAAUACUAGAUGGAAAUGGUCCAGAAUAACACCUGCAAGAUAGACUAUUUAAGCCGACUUAACACCACGGAGCAGCAACACUAGACUAGUAACAGAAUGCAUGCAUGCACUAGCUGCAGUUGAGUUCAGAAUGACUUGUUGCUAAAUCAUGCAUGAACACCGCAUUCAGAACACCGCAUGAAUGACUUGUUGGCUUAAAACUGAAUAGCUUUAUAAUCUCUGAAAGAAAAUUAAGCCAAUAGCGAAAGCAAAUCAAAGAACAUGGGGGGAACAGAACGGGCCUGGGGGGACGGCGACUGCUUGAGCUUGUUGGCCUUGUCGGUGUCGUGUAGGCCUCCUCUUGAUCUCGUGGAUCUACUUCGGCAACAAUAGGAAUAGGAAGAGGAACCCUAAUCAGCAUGCGCCACAGAACCCUAAUCUAAUCAAUAGGAAGAGGAACAGGAAGGACUCGGCAGAUUCAUACCUUAGGAGGCCGUCGUCGUCGCCGUCGAUGGAGGAGUGGGUCGAGAGGGAGGUCAUCGCCGUCGAUGGAGGAGAAGGGGAUGCCGGCGACGGAGAGGAGGAGUGGGUCGAGUGGAUAAUGGAGAGGAGGAGCGGGUCAAGUGGAGAGGAGGAGUGGGGAAAAGAGUGGGUCCACUUGUCAGCGAGUUAUGUAUUUGAUAUAUUGAAAAGGGUUGGCAUACAGUACAAAACCAACAGCCUCUAACUAGCCUAGUGGUAGAAAACAGUGGAAUAAGCGGCAGGUCGUGGGUUCGAGCCCAAUAUUUUUUGGUAGCUCAGGGGGAAAAGGGCCGAGUGGGUAGAGUAGCAAAAUGGCCCACUUGUCAGCGAGUGGGUCGAGUGGCCCACUUGUCAGCGAGGUCUGUGUUUGAUACUUGACUGGUUUGAUGAUUUGAAAAGAGAUGGCAUAGAGUGGAAGACCAGUAGCCUCUUCCUAGCCCAGUGGUAGAAACACAGUGAAACGAGCGCACGGUCGUGGGUUCGAGUCCCCUCUCGCGCAUAUUUUUCUGCUCACAAUGAAAAACAAAAACAGUUCUGACCAAAACUAAGAUAGUAUGAAAAACAGCUCUGAAAACAACUUCUGAAAAAUAUUUUGCAUUACAAGACAACAUUUUGCUCCUGUAAUCUUCAUCACAUCAUUAUCUGACCAAAACAAAAACAACAGUUCUGACCAAAAACUAAGAAAAUGGCACCAAAACUACAUCACUAUCUGCAUUGUAUCUUCAUCACAUCAUUUUGCACCAAAACAUAAUUUGGCAUUAUAUCUACAACCAUAAGUAUCAUUCAUUGAAGAAAUUUUCAUCAUUUCUGCCCAGAUAUCAUAACAAUAAGCAUCCAAAAUGCACCAGCAUCAUAACAAUCACAACAAGUGUUUUGCAUCCAAAAUGUUGAUGCUUACAAAAUACUACAACCAUCAGGAUCACAUCAAAUGCUUACAACCAUCAGGAAAUCAAAUGUUUUGCAUUUUGCAUCAAAUACUACAACCAACAUUUUGUCACAGGAUCACACCACUACAUCCAUCAGGAUCUUCAAGCAUUUUGCUACCUGGAGAUAAUUAUAGUACAUUAGGAUCACCAUGCAUAUGCACAAGAAGGAAAACUACAAAGAAUUACAAGGAAAACUACAGAGAGUUAGAAGGAUCACCAAGGAGACAAAAUUUACCUUCAUGUCCAUUUGCUACUCAUCGUCGUCGAUACGAAAACAAGGAACUCUAUGCCCACUCCUGUUUUCCUCAUCAUCACUACAAUAUUGCAGCAUAGUAUGAUCAGCCCUGUUUUCUUCAUCCUCGCUCUCAUAUCCAUCCGCUACCACCUUUCUUCUUUUCUUGAUGCCUUCAACUGUUGCAGCAUCAACGAGCACACGUUCCCGGUCCCUUCGCACUCUGCUUUGCACCACAACUUCCAUAGAGUCAUCAUCAGCUUGCAACGGAACUUCCGUAGAGUCAUCAUCCUGGUAUGUUAGUCCACCACCACCGGGGCCCUUUUCCACUUCAGUUUCAGUCACACUCCACAAGUGUCUGUGCACAAAGUUUUGCACAACUCGCCAUUUUCCAUGCAAAAGAGUGUCUGGCAGAUAAAACACCAUUGUUGCUUGUGUUGUUAGAAUAAAGGGAUCACUCUUAUACCAGCACCUUGCAGUGUUGAUGCUUUUGAAGUGGCCAUCAUAUUUGACAAAAGAGUCUCUCUUCUUCUUGCUACCAAGCUCAAACCAGUCACAGCGAAAUAAGACAACCGAGCGAUGGAUGCCUCCACUAGAGUUGUACUGCAACUCUACGAUGCUUCUCAACUAACCAUAGAAGUCAAUGAUCUCACGAUCAUGUGACCCCUCAGUGACGAUUCCACUAUUCUGUGUCUUCCUUUUUUCCUCGCGGUCAACGGUGUGGUACCGGACACCGUCAGCAAUGCAUGCUGAAUACACUCUCACUUGCUUAUCCGGUAAGCAUGCCAAAGCAAAUAGAUCAUCACUGACCUUCUUCUCCGCAUGCAACUUUCCAAUCUGCACAAAUAAAACAUUUAGCAAACAAUGGUAUUUAACAGUUGAUGAAUAACACAGAAAACAUCAAACAUGUGGCUAAAGAUCUCACAUGAUUCUUAAACCAAUUAGCAAACCCCUUGGCAACCCUUUUAUCAACAUGGAUCUUGCUUUCUUCCUGAUUUAACUCUUCCUUGCAUUUCCUACAAUGCAAACAAAACACGUGAAUUAAAACAUUAGGCCGGUGCCAACCCAAGCAAAAAUAUAUAUAUAAUGAGUGCACAAGAUAUAACGUACUCGAUAUAUGGUAGAACCUCGGCACAAUUGCUGAGCACAUACCAACCCAUCUUGUCAUACUCAUCACCAGCCUCCAAGUAUUGUGAGGCUCCAAGAAAGUUCACACCAUGGUUGAAAACAGAGACAUCACCGCUUUGCGAAUCAGACCGCUCUCUAUUUCUGCCCGGCCGGUUCCAUCUUGUUUCCACAUCGCCAAAGUAUCUAGAGCAAAAAGUCAAGCACUCGUCAACGACAUAUGCUUCAGCAAUAGAACCUUCAGGUCUAGCCGUGUUUCGCACAUAAUGCUUACAAGUAAGCAGCCUUCUUUCGACUGGGUACAUCCAACCGUAUUGCACAGGGCCUCUAAGCAUUGCCUCUUCUGGUAAGUGCACCGCCAAAUGGACCAUCACGGUGAAGAAAGUUGGAGGGAAAAUCAUCUCGAGCUUGCAUAGAAUAAUUGGGAUUUCUUUUUCAAGUCUUUCCAGGACAGUUAACUUGAGUGUUUUGCAGCACAGUUCUCUAAAGAAAUUUCCCAGCUCAGCAACCGCUUCAUAUAUAUCCUUGUCCAUGAUUCCUCAGAGGCCCGCCGGUAAAAUCCUUUGGAGGAGGAUGUGACAAUCAUGGGUUUUCAGUACUGAAAGCUUGAAUCCAUCAGAAGUAACACACUUUGCUAGGUUAGGAGCAUAACCAUCUGGAAAUUUCACUGCUCUUAGGAAUUCACAGAAUGCAAGCUUUUGUUCUUUACUCAUUGUAUACCAUGCUCGUGGCAUUUCAAAUGAAUCUUCAUCUUCAUUGUGCUGUAGAUGCAAAUCUUCUCUUAUGCCCAUGUCCUCCAAAUCAAGCCUAGAACUAACUAUGUCCUUUGUCUUUCCUUCAAUGUCCAGAAAUGUCCCUAGCAGAUUCUCGCAUAUGUUUUUCUCAAUGUGCAUUACAUCGAGAUUAUGCCUUAAUUUCAUAUCAGCCCAGUAUGGCAGGUCCCACAAACAAGACCUCCGGUCCCAACAUUGACCUUCCUCACGCUUUCUUUUCUUCGCAAGCUUUCCUGGUCUCACAUCUUUCACCUUUUCAAGUUGCUGCUCCAGCUCUUCUUUAGUGAAUUCAGCGGGCUUGUCACGGGUUUCAUUCUCACCAUUAAAAUAUUUGCUUCUUCGCUAGCGAUGGUUUCGGGGAAGAAAGCGGCGGUGCCCAAUAUAGCAGAUCUUGCUCCUUAUUCUCUUUGAGCAAGGGUCUUUGUCACAAUGGACACAGGCCUUAUAACCCACUGUGAUCCUCCCAGACAGAGUGUGCAGAGCCGGGAAAUCAUGGAUGGACCAUAUGAUUGCAGCACGUAGAUUGAACUUUUCUUCCGGACUCAAGGCAUCGUAUGUAGGUACACCAGUCCAGAGCUGGAGCAGUUCUUCUACGAGGGGCUCCAUAAAGACAUCAAAAUCCUUUCCUGGAGACUCUGGACCAAGGAUAAGCAAUGACAUCAUGAAGUUGGACUAAUCCAUGCAUGCCCAUGGUGGCAGGUUGUACGGCACCACAAAAACUGGCCGCAUGCUAUAAGACGUGCUCAUGUUCCCAAACGGAUUAAACCCAUCUGUGGCAAUGCCAAGUUUUAUGUUCCUUGGAUCUGCAGCAAAAUCUACAUAUAUACUGUCAAACUCUUUCAAUGCCUCUCUGUCCGCUGGAUGGCUCAGCUCAUUGUCCACAGGUUGCCGCUUCAGCUUGUGCCAUUGUACCUCCAGCGAUGAUUUCUUCGAGAUAAACAUCCGCUGCAGCCUUGGUAUCAACGGAAAGUGCCUCAGUACCUUCUCUGGUAUUGACUUCUUCCGAUCAGCAUCUUUCCACCUAGAGGCAUUGCAUUUUGGACAGUUGUCAUGCUUUGUUAAAUCCUUCAGAAACAAGACACAGUUAUUUAGGCACACAUGUAUUGAAACAUAACCUAGCCCCAGCCUGCGGAUUAUGCUCAAUGCUUCAUCAUAAGAUCUGGGAACACAGCUAUCAGGUAAUUGCAAGCUCAAAAGGCGGAGUAUUGCAUUGAAUGCAGCAUUGCUAAUCCGGUAGAAAGACUUGAUGUGGAGUAACUUCACGGUGAAGGUAAAUCUUGAAAAUUUACCCCCUUCAUGAGCUACGUGCUUCGCCUCCUCUAACACCUCAGCAAACAACAACUUCUCUCCAUCAGCACGAUCUUCAGCAUCGUACAAAUCCUUCAGUAGGUCAGGAAUCCUAUCAUCUUCAUGCCCAUCCUCUUCCUCCAAACCAGCAUUAUCUCGCAAAACCUUUUCCAUGAAAUCAAUGCCAGCAUCACCACCACCCAUCAUAUGAGGGGCCUGUGUAUCAGCUUCAAAAUGUUGAGGUUGUCCGUCUAAAGGUUCCCCAUGAUAUAUCCAUCUAUCACAUGUGCUGGACAUCCCAUUAAGAAGCAGAUGAUCUUCCACUCUUCCUUGAGCCAUUCUUGAACGGUUGAGGCAUUCGCAGCAUGGGCAAAGAAUGUGAGCAUCUUUGGCAAAAUUUGCCCGAACAAAUGCCAUGAAAUCAUCAACUCAUUCCAUAUGUUCUUUCGAAAACUUUCUAACUCCUUCUAAUCCAGCUUCUGUCCAUUUGCCAAAGACAACAAAUUGUUGCAACUUAGGAAAUCAAUCUAAGUGCAUCAACAUUAAUUAAUGAAAAUGGAUGGCAGUAAUGGCACCCGACUUUAUAUGGUAACUGCCUAACCACAACAUUCAACUAUUUCCAAUUUCUCACUACUUUAGUCCAGUCCACAUGGUUUACUGAUUUCACAUGGGAGCAAUAAAAAGCAGUUCACAGGAAUUACGGAUUUCACAUGGGAGAAAAGAAAAGCUAACAAAAACCUGCUGGUUCACAAAAAAACAGAGGUGGUUUACAAAGAACUAAUGUGGUUAAACCACCAACAAUAACAACAUAUGCUACCACAAAGAACUAUUGUGGUUAAACCACCAACAAUAACAACACUGCAAAUUUACAUGAAUGACAUUUCCAAGAUUGCAUCAAAUCUACAUCAAUGAGAUUUUUCCAAGUUUCCAUCAAGUCUACAUCAAUAUUGAUGUUUUUAACAGAUUUGAGGCUAAAAUUUCAGAGGUGUAACAUCAAAUCUACAUCAACUCCCUUCAUAUUUUCCAAGUUUACAUCAAACCUACAUAAACCUGAGGCUGGAACUUCAGAGGUGCAGAUUCAUUAUUCAUACAACAACACACACACACACACACAUUAUGACAUCCACAAAAAUAGUUACAUUGCCCAAUGCUCACAAAUUCAGACCAGACAAAUUCAGUUCAAAGUUCUGGACAGUCCAAAGUUCUCUACAUUCCUAUGAUCAGAUCAGACAAAUUAAGAGUUAUCUACCUAGAAACAAGAUCAACGGGAGAGGAGAGGGGUGCAUACCGGGAGGUGUGCUUGCGGCGGUGGCGAGUCCGCCAUGCUCGACGAGCCUGCCCUAUCGUGGGCGAGGUCAUCGUUCAUUCCCCCGCCCCCACCACCGCUGGUCGCCCACGCCCCUGCUUCGCCUCCACGCCCACGCCCCCGCCUCGCCUCCGCCCCCGCUGGUUGCUUCCACUGCCGGCCCCGCCUCCGCCCCUGCUAGUUGCUUCCACCGUGAGGUCGUCGGCGAGGUCACCUGUGGCGAGGUUGUGGGCAAGGCGAGCGGCACCUGCUGGUCGCUUCAGACGCCGCCCGCCGGCCCCGCCCUCGUCCGCCGGCCCCUACUGGUUGCUUCCGCCCGCUGCCCGCCGCCACCUGGUCGGAAGACCUAGAAAUAUUUGCUAAGUGUUGGCUCUGUCCGAUCCUGGGAAUAGGUCCCACUUGUCAAUGACUUAGAUUUGGCAAGAGACAACCGCUGUUGUAUAUAAUAUACAGAGCCAUUCCGCUAGAUGGGUAGCAACCCCUCUCUAGCCCAGUGGUAGCGAACAAGUUAAACCAGCACGAGGUCGUGGGUUCGAGUCCCCCCUCGCGCAACUUUUUUAUUAACAAAUUUAGGCCUCGGUCUCGACUGUCAAGUGGGUCCCUCCUGUAAAUGAGCUCUCGUUGAAUAUACACAUGUAAGCGAAAAUGAAAACUAAGCACUCCACAUAGGCGAGACUGCUGAGGUGGCUGCCUAAUCAUACAACUGCAUUAAAACUCAAGUGUAAUGACCAUUCAUAUUGGUCGUAAUUUGCUAGAAAUGAGGCACGAACCAGGGCUGCCCGCUUUACGACCAUUUCCUCUAAUGAAAUUACGACCUUUCUGAUCAGAAUGGUCGUUAUGGUUUACGGUCUAGAGCCCCCCGAACAGCUUUUGACCAAUUGGUCUCAAAUGGUCAUAAAUUUAUGACCAAUUCUUCCAGGGUCACUGACAGAAGGUCACAAGUUGACAUAUUUCUUGUAGUGUAUGUUGUAUUUCCUCUAGUGGUGUUAUGUGAACGUCGACUACAUGACACUUCACCUUUAUUUGGGCCUAGAGGAAGGCAUUGGGAAGUAAUAAGUAGAUGAUGGGUUGCUAGAGUGACAGAAGCUUAAACCCUAGUUUAUGCGUUGCUUCGUAAGGGGCUGAUUUGGAUCCAUAUGUUUCAUGCUAUGGUUAGGUUUACCUUAAUACUUCUUGUGUAGUUGCGGAUGCUUGCAAGAGGGGUUAAUCAUAACUGGGAUGCUUGUCCAAGGAAGGGCAGCACCCAAGCACCGGUCCACCCACAUAUCAAAUUAUCAAAGUAACGAACGCGAAUCAUAUGACCAUGAUGAAAAUUAGCUUGACGAUAAUUCCCAUGUGUCCUCGGGAGCGUUUUCCUUUAUAUAAGAGUUUGUCCAAGCUUGUCCUUUCCUACAAAAAGGAUUGGGCCACCUUUCUGCACCUUAUUUACUUUUAUUACUUGUUCCCCGUUACAAAUUACCUUAUCACAAAACUAUCUGUUACCGAUAAUUUCAGUGCUUGCAGAGAAUACCUUACUGAAAACCGCUAGUCAUUUCCUUCUGCUCCUCGUUGGGUUCGACACUCUUACUUAUCGAAAGGACUACGAUAGAUCCCCUAUACUUGUGGGUCAUCAGUGAUGCAUAGAAACGAGCGGGGAGAGUGUGUCCACGUACCCGCAUAGACCGAAAGCGGAAGCAUUUAGUAACGCGGUUGAUGUAGUUGAACGUCUUCGCGAUCCAACCGAUCAAGUACCAAACGCACGGCACCUCCACGAUCUGCACACGUUCAGCUCGGUGACGUCCCUCGUACUCUUGAUCCAGCUGAGGCCGAGGGAGAUUUUCGUCAGCAUGACGACGUGAUGAUGAAGUUACCGACACAGGGCUUCGCCUAAGCACUAGAACGAUAUGACCGAGGUGGAAAUCUGUGGAGGGGGGCACCGCACACGGCUAAGACAACUGUCAACUUGUGUGUCUAUGGGGUGCCCUCCUCCCCCGUAUAUAAAGGAGUGGAGGAGGGGAGGGCCGGCCCUCUCUAUGGCGCGCCCAAGGGGGGAGUCCUACUCCUAGUAGGAGUAGGUUUCCCCCCUUCCCUAGUUGGAGUAGGAGAAGAAGGAAGAGGGAGAAGGAGAGAAGGAAAGGGGGGCUGGCCCCCUCCCCAAUUCGGAUUGGGCUUGGGGGGCGCGCCCCCCACUUGACCGCCUCCUCCUCUCUCCCACCAUGGCCCAUUAAGGCCCAUUGACUCCCCGGGGGGUUCCGGUAACCCCCCGGUACUCCGGUAACUGCCCAAACUUAUUCGAAACCAUUCCGGUGUCCAAACAUAGCCUUCCAAUAUAUCAAUCUUUAUGUCUCGACCAUUUAGAGACUCCUCAUCAUGUCCGUGAUCACAUCCGGGACUCCAAACUACCUUCGGUACAUCAAAACACAUAAAAUUGUAAUACCGAUCGUCAGGGAACGUUAAGCGUGCGGACCCUACGGGUUCGAGAACUAUGUAGACAUGACCGAGACUCACUUCUGGUCAAUAACCAAUAGCGGAACCUGGAUGCUCAUAUUGGUUCCUACAUAUUCUACGAAGAUCUUUAUCGGUCAAACCGCAUAACAACAUACGUUGUUCCCUUUGUCAUCGGUAUGUUACUUGCCCGAGAUUCGAUCGUCGGUAUCUUAAUACCUAGUUAAAUCUCGUUACCGGCAAGUUUGUUUACACAUUCCGUAAUGCAUCAUCCCGUAACUAACUCAUUAGUCACAUUGCUUGCAAGGCUUAUAGUGAUGUGCAUUACCGAGAGGGCCCAGAGAUACCUCUCGGACAAUCAGAGUGACAAAUCCUAAUCUCGAUUUAUGCCAACUCAACAAACACCAUCGGAGACACCUGUAGAGCAUCUUUAUAAUCACCCAGUUACGUUGUGACGUUUGAUAGCACACUAAGUGUUCCUCCGGUAUUCGGAAGUUGCAUAAUCUCAUAGUCAUAUGAACAUGUAUAAGUUAUGAAGAAAGCAAUAGCAAUAAACUAAACGAUCAUAGUGCUAAGCUAACGGAUGGGUCAAGUCAAUCACAUCAUUCUCUAAUGAUGUGAUCCCGUUCAUCAAAUGACAACUCAUGUCUAUGGCUAGGAAACUUAACCAUCUUUGAUUAACGAGCUAGUCAAGUAGAGGCAUACUAGUGACACUAUGUUUGUCUAUGUAUUCACACAUGUACUAAGUUUCCGGUUAAUACAAUUCUAGCAUGAAUAAUAAACAUUUAUCAUGAUAUAAGGAAAUAUAAAUAACAACUUUAUUAUUGCCUCUAGGGCAUAUUUCCUUCAGGAUUCCCGAAGAACAUGAUGAAAUCACAAGGGGAAACGAAAGGAAACACUCAAAUCCACGAGAAACGGUCACACAUGUGCUAGAUCCAUGAACACAAGGAGGGAUACAUGAUUCAAAUCCAACAAAGGACGAUAUAAAUGCUAGCAAGUUCUUCCCAAUCCGUGAUGAGAUCGGGGCUUGAAUCCAUGAGGGGAUCUUCCCUAGACGGGGUCUUGAAUCCACUUAGGGGAUCUUCUCCUAGGAGGCCUCGGUCUCCAAUGGAGUAUGUAUCAAGUGGAUGAGCAAAGCUCUAUCUCUAAAAUGAGCUAAACCAAUGCUAACCCUAGAACGUUGGAGAAGGAGUAUAUAUAGUCUAGGGGGGCGAAGGGGUACAUGGGCCUCAGCCCAGAGUCACUGCACGCACGCAGGCCGGAAGUUCCGGGCAGGGCCGGAAGGUCCGAGGUCCGAAAGUUCUGUGCAGGUUCUGGCCAAGGGUCCGGCUUAACAGAGAGUUGCACAGUCGGCGCUGGUCUGGUUUUUUUAGGGCUGGAAGUUUCGGGCAGGCAGGAGGUUCUGUGCGAGGUUCCGGGCGUGUUCCGUGCUGGACAGAGAGUUGGCACGUCCGGGCGUCAUCUGUAGUGUUGAGGGCCGGAGGUUCUGGGAUGGCCGGAAGGUCCGGGGGACGGAGGUUCCGGGCUGUGGCUGGAAGGUCCGGGGGGCGAAGGUUCCGGGCUAUGGCCGGAAGUUCCGGGCUUGGCAAAAACUCUGCAUAAGUCUUGAUGCUGGCCGUUCUUCCUCCUUCUGUCCAUGGUUCCUGAGCACAUGUAGUGUCUUUGCAUUAGGUAGCAACCAUGUCUCGCAUGAAUGAAAAGGAAAAGGACUUAGGAACGGGUUCACCUUGUGUCCAAUGGCGUAUGCUUGAGGUCUAGGUCUCGUCGUAUGUCCACUUCGGGCUUGGGGAGUAGUCGUGGUGUACAUGGGGAUGAUCGUAGGAUGCUCCGCGAUAGUGAGCUUCUAAAACAGACUACUGACUACACAACGCAUGCAACAUUCUACCUACUAAAAUAGUAUGACUUGAAGCUAGGGCUAUUUGUCAUCCUAUCUUGCAAAAUCUACAUCAAUCAAAUAAAGAAGCACAAGAGGACAAUGAUGUGCCAUCUAAUGCUAGAAAAUUAUGUAACACCGACCAUCAGGGAUAAGUUAUUUGAGAGUUCAUCUUCCCAAUUAGUUGAGACCUCCACUAUCAGAUUCAUCGGCGCAACACAUCAGUGCUUCAUCCUGAGGACCAUGAAGGUGUGAGCCCCAUGAGAAGGCAUGGGCCAUAGGAUGCUUUGGGACCUGGUUAUCUACCCAACCGAAGCUUCCCAUCAAUGCGCAUCUCAUGACCAAAUUUGUUAGGAACCAACUAUUAAUAGAAGAUUGGAGGGUUCCAUGUUUAUCGAGUGAAUUAAAUGGUCAAAUUCAAUUAAUUAUUCACAAAUUUCCCUAAAAAUUCCAGGUCGAAAGUGCAAAAUUUAAGAAAAUAGGUUUUCCCCAUUAUUUAGAAGCUAGGGUAUAAAUCGAAAACUUGACUUGAUAGCACAAUCUCUUAUAAGUUCUAACUACAAUGGAUUAAGACAUGUGGCCAAUUACCAGAUUGACCUAUUGUUGCGGUUAUGUUGUUGUCCAUCCAAUAGAAAAGAAAGGGCAUCCUUUCUUCUGUAGGAAUCUGAGAGGCACACACAAGUUGUUCCAAGUUGUCCUGACCAAAGACAUAGUCACCAUAUAUAAGACCAAAAGAAGUAGACCAACUAUCUUGAGACAUCCCAUAUUCAAAUGCAUAUGCAGAAAGACCUACCCUGGCUACCCUGCAACCAAUUCAUCUCCUAGCACUGGAUAGGAACAAAAACUUCCUAUCGAAAGAGAAAGGACACAACCUCAGGCCAAACCGGUGCUCCUCGACAGAAGAAAAAAACAGGUACCUGACAAGAUAAGAAAAGCAAAAAAACUACUGCGCAGAUACCAAGGACACAUGUAGUUCUACCCAUCCCCUCAGCAGGUAAAAAGCAAGAGCAACUAUUCUAUCAACCUAAGACAGAGCACAUAACAUCCAUGGGUAUGUAUAGACCGUACACAUAGAUCAUAUGGAGAAAAUAGAUGAACUGAAAAGGGAAAGUGGCUGAACCUGGAUAAUUGAAGCACAAAGUAGGUCAAAAUAUCAAAGGCAAGAGUAACCCUGCAACAUAAUCCCAAGUAAAAUCAUUAGUCGCAUGAAGAGCACAAAAAUAUGGCCACGAAUGCAAAGGGGCUAAGUAGAUAGGGAUAAAUUGGCAACCAACUGUUGUGAUCGGAUCUGAGGGAGCGCAGGUGCGGUCGGAGUUCCUCGCAAUAGCGGUUCUGCCGCUGCUGCAUUGCACUCACAAGUUUGGGCGUACAGCCAUCGGCGGCGUCGUGCCUUGGCCUUCCACUGACCGACGGAUCUUGAGAGAAGACCGACGUUGUGGUGGCCAACACGGGGUCGUGGUGUUGGGGAAGCAGCCGUCGCGACCUAAGGGUGGAUCUGCAUCGACGAUAUGUUGCCUUGCUCCUCGCACUGUCGCUCACGUUCGCUGUGUCCAGGGGAGGAGAUAGGGGGCGCCCUCAAACCACCUGCAAGACGGCGAAGGAAAAAGGUAAAGGGGGAAGUGAGGACUGGCGAGAACGCCUCGAAGGGGCCAAGACGAGAACGUGAGGAUGGUCACUUGAUCGACGAUGAUGAGGAGACCACGGCCGGUCUCUCCUCCCCGUGACGCUUCGGGGUGCGGGACGGAGGCGGUGAGCUCGGCAGAACAGGAGCAGCUCAACCGGAGGCGGUGAGGAGGAGGGUCCGGGUCGGUGUGAGACGGGCGGAUGGGAGGCGUAGAGAAUGAGCUAGGGUUAGGGGAAUGAGGAGCGGAGGGGGAAGCGAGGAGAUGAAGAGAGAGGACGAAGCGUUCGGUGCCUUAUCGCCCCCUCUCUAAUGGGACGCGAAAAGACCAAAAUGCCCUCGACGGGCACCAAAAAUCAUAGGCGAUGGCACGCCCACAGCGCCCGACGCAACUUAUUCCCGCGGUCGCUCACGACCAAGCCCCACAUUGUCCGGGCCCCGCUUGUCAUUGCGUAUGAGGGUGGUGAAACGGGGUGGGAAUGAAAAGCACUAUUCAUUUCUAGUCACAACAGUUCGAUCCAACGGCCAGGAUUGAUUCAUCAAAAAAUCUGAUGGCUGGGAUACGUUUGGACACACAAUCUGACAGUCAAGAGAGACCAUAAAAGCUUCGAAAUGGGUGCUUUUGAAGGCUUUUAGAGCCAAGUAUUGUUAUAUUGAUUCAUCAAAAGCCAUAAAGGCUCAAAAAGCACCUAUUUAGAAGUUUUUAUGGCUUCUGAUCAAAGUAGAAAAACUACAAAAGCAAAAGCUCAAACAAACAAGGGGCCUAAGUGAUGUUUCCACAGUGCAUUGUAAGCACGAAUGUCAUGUAGCAGCCCAGAGAGUCUGUAUCAGAAGGCUGGGUUUGAUGGCAGAGAUUUGUUGGACCUGCCCCCUUUGGGUCUUUUUAUAUCGGUAUAUAUAGAUUAAUGGAAUGCGUUGUCUUCCCUCAAAAAGAAAAUCAUGAGCAGCUGCCCACUGAAACGGCAGUACCAACAUGGCAGCAGUACAUCUAUGCCAAGUCCACCCAGUAAGGUCCAACUGAAAAAGGACUAUAAAUAGCUUCUUUCAGACGUUUAAACAUAGCACCGAGAACAACAAAUAUUUGGAUGGUUAUUUCGAUUCUACCAACAAGGCCAUGACUUGAACUGUACUCUUAAGCAAGCAAGACGUGCCAACUGAAUAUGGGGAUAACAUUAUACAUCAAGAGAUUAUAUUAUCUUAUCAAUACUACUGUUGAAAACAACUCUGACAUAUGAAGUCCAUGGCUGUCGGAC
rnacentral:lncRNA from 1 species